rnacentral:lncRNA from 1 species
AUUCCCCGACCUUAGCCCCCAGCCUAUGCUGGGUGUAGUUCGGAGGCGAAGCUUUCGUAAUGGAGAGAGAUUGCAUUAAGCCUAGAGCUUCGUCUAAAAGCGAAAGCUGAAUGGGCUUCUGCGGAUCCGCGAGGCCGGGCACGUGAUUGAAGCCGGUGGGGUGCAGACCUUAGUUAUUUAGAGUUGUCCUCAAGAGGCGAGUCUGGCUCUCCGAUGUCCGUGGGAGUACCGUUUGAUUCCNNNNNNNNNNNNNNNNNNNNNNNNNNNNNNNNNNNNNNNNNNNNNNNNNNNNNNNNNNNNNNNNNNNNNNNNNNNNNNNNNNNNNNNNNNNNNNNNNNNNUUUAGCUUGUUACCUCAGCUACGAUCUUGUGCCCUCGGCAGGAUCUAGUAGAUAGUCAGGCUUCUUAGCCUUUUUCAUUUGUAGAUGUCUGUACUCAGACAUGUUAAGCUUCCGCAUGUGCUUUGCAUUGUAUGCUAUGACUGUUGGGUCAUGAGACCCAUGUUUGUAAUAUCUCGCUCCACGGAGCCUAAUAAAUAAAUACUUUGAGUCACAGAGUCUUGUUGUGAUGCCAUGUUGUAUUUGCACAUAUCGAGCAUAUUGUGUGUAUGAUUGAAAUGCUUGGUAUGUGUGGGAUCCGACAAUAUAGUUGUUUAUCCUUGGCAGCCUCUCUUAUGGGGAAAUGUAGUCAAGUGCUUCCGUGAGCCAUAGUAGUCCGCUACAGCCUGGUUCACCGGAGUCCUGCUAGCCCAGCACUACUGCUCAGGACGCUUGACUGGCCGGCAUGUAUUUCACUUCAUUCUUGUGUCUGUCCCUUCGGGGAAAUGUCACGCGGUGACUCCGGAGUCCUGCCUAGCCUGCUACAGCCCGGGUUCUCGGAGUCCUGUUAGCCCAGUGCUACAGCCCGGAUUCACACGCUGCUGACCGACAUGCUCGAGGUUGAUUCAUGUAUGCCUGUCCCCACGGGUUAGUGCCGCUUUGGGUUCACGACUAGCCAUGUCGGCCCGGGUUCUCUGUCAUAUGGAUGCUAGCAACACUAUCAUAUACAUGAGCCAAAAGGCGCAAACGGUCCCGGGCCAUGGUAAGGCGACACCCGUGGGAAUACCGUGCGUGAGGCCGCAAAGUGAUAUGAGGUGUUACCGGCUAGAUCGAUGUGACUUGGUAUCGGGGUCCUGGCAGCUUUGGUAUCAGAGCCUGACUACCUGUACGAUUACCAAGCCAAACUGGUCGAAGUCGAGUCUAGAAAUGCUUUAGUUAUGUAAGGGAAUUGAUUGUGGAAGGGAACGUAAGGCUCUUUUUACUCCUUAUAUCAUCAUGACCUUCUGAUCUGAGUCAUCUUAUCCUUUCUACAGGGAUUAAGAACUAGGCUUCUCUUCUAUCUCUGAGGAUGAUGUGUUACUAAACCGUAGUUGCCCAGGAUUGUUGAGUUCAAGCCUCAGUUCAGUUCCUACUACUUCUGUAUGUUGACCCUUGAUCCCGGAACUUUGAUAUUGUGAUGUUGAGUGGUUAUGCCACCGUUUUGCAGGAUGUCUCAAAUCUUUUCGAGCAUUUACAGCCAUUAUGCUGUCCGAGUCAUCCGAGGUUUCUAAACAAUCUGAUGCAUUUGCAAAUCCCUUCUUUCCAUUCCGAUGUCUCUUUGGGCCAGUUUAACCACACUAAUCGGUGAGUUGAGGUACUUUGUUGCCUCGACAUAUAUGUUGGAGCUAGUAUUAUGACCCUAGGUGUCUUAGAGGAUCACCUAGUAAAUCUGGCCAUGUUUUGUGUUCCCAGUGUGAUGAAUCUGGCCGUCAUUCUCGAAAGCAUCCCAUGAUGCCAUUUAGUAGUAGGUAUUCUACUCUUGGGUUCCUGACCCAAGAUUCACUCCACUUACCUUCUGUUGAUAGUGUUUGCUAGUUCCUUUAGAAUAUUAGUAACCUUUGCGAUAGUCCUCGAGGCCCGUGGUAUUUCCUUCUUCCAAAUACCAUGAACUACUUAUGGCAGAAGUUCUUUUGAACUAAAAGAUCACAACUAGAGUGAUCUUGAUGGGUUGUCCAUUCUAUAUUGUGGAUCUGCCAGUUCUACCUUUCUGCAUGGGUUAUCCGAAAGAAAUAUGUUGAACUCGUUCGACAUACUAAUCUAUGCAUCCACAACUCAGAAAGUUAUAUGUUCCUUGAGUUGUCCCCCUCUUCAGUUAUAUUCCGACCUUCAUCUAUCAAUUGAUAGUAAGGAGUAUUUGGCAAUCGUGUUUAUCAAUGCCUAUUACUCUAGUGGUCCGUCAAGUCAUUUUAUUUCAGAAUGACUAGGAGAAACAAACUCCAGUACCUGGUCCAUGUCUAGGAUUGGGUUAAAGCAAUUGUACUUCGCAGAUCAAAAUGCCAAUCCAGCUUUUGUUCUAUUCUACCUCGGAGUAUUACCCCCUUUAUGUCAUGAUUGUCAUGAGAAUUGCACCAUCUCUCAUGAAUUUUGAACGCAGUGAUACUUCUCGCCAUCAUUCUUCAUUCCUCAGUCUCCGUGUUGUUGUGACCGGAAUGCCGACAAGUGAACCGCGAUGUGUGAGAUCAAUACUCCUAGCAACCCAGUUGCUUGGUAGUUAAUGGACAAUAAGUUCAUUCUUAGCGUGUUGGUUAUUCAAUCAUCAUUCUAAGAUUAAUCAUGCUACCUAGUCCAUAUUUCCGGUGCACUCUUCGAUCAAUGAGUUAGGAUUAUUCAAUCCCUUACUCUUCUGAUCAUGUCGUCUUGCCUUGAAAAGCAAGAUUGUUCUCGAGCUUAGAGACAUAUCAGUGGCUCGUGAUUUUCCGGAUAUCUUCAUGGGAGUAUCACCAGGUCGUCACCUGACCGCUAUGUUGAGUUCAUGAUCAUGUGGGUUUUCCUCCAAACCACCCAUUCUCCAAGAAUCUGUGAUGGAUACCCUGAGCUAGUUUGGUAAGCUAAACAACAACUUGGAGAGUUGGAAGAUAAAAGCUUGUCCGACUUAGUUCAUCAUUAAGGGAUAUUCUUGGGUAGUGUGUGUUGAAGAAAGAUGAUAUCUUCAUCGAUUGGUCCCUGUGAUCAGUUGUUAGUUCUAUUGCCUUGUCAAAACUUUGACUUGAGUAUGGGCUAUCGUCAAGUCAAAUCAGAACCAACGAUGUUCGUAAUGUUGUCUUACUCGUGGUUGAUCCCUCGAGCAUACACCAUUACAUCUUUUGGUCUGACCAAUGCUAUCACCGUGUUCACAUGAAGGUGGAAGUCCAGUGAUAUGGAAAUACCGAUGAGUUGUUGUUGAGCCCAUCAGCAGCAUUUGUCUCCUCCAUGAUUCAUGUUGGACGUUGCGCUAGUGUUGGAAACUUGGUAAGCCUCGUGCCCCGUUCAUGAAGUAUAUGUUUGGAUGAAAGUAGUGACUUCCUCUAGAUUCAUGUGCAAUUGAUGCAAGUUGCCGCCGUGAAUUCGAGGGAGCUUGUUUUUUUGCUUCCUUUGGAAUCAUCUCAAGCCAGUCAUGCAUUCGUGCGAAGUAUUAUAUGGUUUGGUAGAUUAAUUACCUCCACUCCAUAGGUGUUCCUAGCACACCAAGCCACUGACUGAUUUGCACAAGGAAAAGGAGUCUGUUGUAUUAAUUCUAGAUCAUGCGCAAGACUUCGAUAUCCUCGAUGAUGGUUCGCAGCCAGAACUCGGUAGUGUUUUGUUGUAAGACUACUAUGUGGUCAUGCUUGUCUGGGAUAACGUGUUCACAUGUACGUAGCAAAACCAGCUGAUGUUUUGGAGCUUGCUAUCGUAGUUCAUCUCCCGAGAAUCUCACAACGUCAUCUCGUCGAUUUGUGUUGCAAACUUUCUUUUCCAGACAUGUUGUUUGAAUUAUCCUGUUACCAACCAGAUCUAAAUCUCAGGCAGAUGUGAUGGUUGGAACCUCUUCCAAGAACUAUGAUAUAGGUUCCAGUGAAGUGGACACACCUAGCUGGAAGCACUAUUAUUGUAGUAUCUUGAGUCAGCAAUUUGGCCACCCUUCCAUGAGGAGCUGGUAUGACUUAGAGCAUAAGUUGUUCCUUAUGGGUUCUUUGAGUUUCCGAAGUCAGACCUUUAUUUGAUGUUCCAGAUACCGAAUGGUAUUGUGUUAAGCUGGUACAUGAAGGAGANNNNNNNNNNNNNNNNNNNNNNNNNNNNNNNNNNNNNNNNNNNNNNNNNNNNNNNNNNNNNNNNNNNNNNNNNNNNNNNNNNNNNNNNNNNNNNNNNNNNCAGCCAUUGGUGAGCUUGUCCACGCGAGGUAGGACACAGGGGCCAAGCGGGUGCUGGACUUGCUGCUCCAUCUCCUCCAGCGAAGAGAGCUCGUCGGGGAUGGCCGCUUCGAGGAGGGCGUCCUGUACACCACUGGAUGGGUGGAGAAGGCAAUAGGCAUUAGUAGCACAGAAAUCAACCCUAAUAAAUAGUUCAUAUUUGACAACACAAGCAGCCUUUCCAAUAUGAUGAUUCUCAAGAAAGAGAAAAACAUUAUCCAAGAAAUCAAGAAACAAAAGUGAAAUGCUAGAUAGCAGCAUAACCAUUCAUUCAGGGAACAUAAGAGGUGGCAAAAGCAGCAGCAGGUAAUCCUUAUAACUAGAGGCUAAGCAUCCAGAGUUGGCUAUAGUUAGCUACUUCAUAGCAACUAACACCGGCCAAUAAAAAGUAGCACAAGUACUAGAUACCUAUGAGGGUGUGAACUUGGUGCCAAUCAGUUGGCCAACCUUGUGGAUAUGGAGAUCUUGUUUGUACCAGUACAAUUAGCAAGCAGUUGUCUAUUAUCGAAGCCAUUUCAUUUGCAACGGUAUCAUAAUAAAAAUGUAAUGUAAAAUCCUGGUGUUGUCACUAGCACUAUAGCAACAGUACUUAUCAGAAAUUACAUUAGCUUCUUAAAAAUGGAAAGGAGGAAUUGCAUCCUCAAUCAAGUAUGCUGGCAAUCAAGGCCGGUUAUGAGAUCUCAGGGGCCCGAGGCGAACUAGAAAACAGGGCCCCAUACAAAGCAUGGCACCAAAACGAGUGAUUUAUAUCGACCAAAGGUGAUAUAUAUUGUUUUGAGGAGCUUUAUCGUGAACGAUAACAAGGUGUAAUCCAUUUGAAAAAAAGGUGUGAAGCUGAUAUAUGUACACAAUGUGAUUGAAAUUCAUGUAAAGAAGAACAGUGGUAUUAGAUCUUAUGGCGUUUCUAUUUUUUGUUGUUGGAAGUUAGACAGAUGGAAGACAAUAACUUAUCUUUUGCCAAAAUCAUUUUCCCUUAGUUCUGGUACAAGUUUGUAGUAUUUCUACAGGCACAAUCCGACAUUCUGACUUGGACCAAUCUAACAAAAUGAGAUUAAUGUUGGAAGCUGAUAUAAAUACAGUCAGAGGAUUGACCAUGGAUUUUCAGCAUGAAUUCAUCAUAAAAUUCGCCUAGCUAGAAUUAACAAGUCCUGACCCAAAUCAUACACAAAAUCAGCGGAAAAGAAAGCACAGCAGAACCCCAUGUUGUUACCUGGUUGUCAACCCAACAGAACCCCCAAUCAGCCAAUUAGGCAGAUAAGUAUGGCGCACCAAUUAGCUGGCUGUCGCAGAACCCUAUAGGCAGAUAAGCAUGGCGCAUCAGCAAUCAGUCGUACUGUUUGUUAAAAGAGUAUUUUGUCCAUGUGUAGAAGCAAAUAUAGAAACUGAUCUUGAUAAUAUUUGGCAUACCGCAUACCCAAUAACAGAUUAAGGUGCAUAUUUGAUAGCACAAGCAGCAAUUUUUCCCCAAAAUUAAAAAUAAGAUUACCAAGCUACAGACUAACCACAUCCAGCACAAGCAAUUUGUCCCAUCAAAUGUUUACUAACGGCAGUAUAGGCACAACAGCACAACCUUACCUAGCGCCAUGGCCAUUGUUCAGGGGCGGGGCAUGCUUAUGUUGUACUGGCGCUUCUCCUUGGAGUUUGAGGAUGAGGAGCAGCACACGCACUCGCCGCAGCUGUCGUCGAGCAGGACAAGCCACGGUGCCCACCCUCGUCCCGGACGGGCGGCUGCAGGUGCGCCGCGUCCAUGGAUCCUACGGGAUGAGGUCCUCCGUGCUGCCCUGCUCGAGGUGGACCAUCAGGAAGCGAGGGCGCGCGUGGGGGCGCUGUAGACGAUGGAGAAGAGGCGCCAUAGGCGGCCGUAGAAGGGCCGACGAUGAAGGCGAUGCCGGAUGCCGAAACCCUAGCACGGGAAGUGGUUUUGGGAAAGCAGUUGAGGUCGAGAGGGGGAAAUCUUGCCGGAGGGAAGGAUGGAUCCGAGCGAGGCGAGCUCGGUGGUGUGCUCCACCCCGGCAAUAUCCGCCGGAAUCGCCCGAAUCGGGAGCGGCGGCUGUGGCGGCUGAGGGAACGGAGGAGAGGAUGGGGGUUAGGGUUACAUGGGUGUGGACUUUGGAUUAAAUAGGCUGGCUCGAAAUUUUUGCCACCGCCCGCGUCAGCGACUUAAAAUUUUGCACGUCCACGCGCUCUCGAAACUUCUGGCGCGUCCGCUUUUUUAUUUUUAUAUAUGCAUAUAUACUGUUGACUACAUUCAACUGAAAUAUGGGCCAACCCACCAGCCACACACUACACAUCAGUAGGAGUCAUCGGUGACGGACUGGAUAAUGUAUAAAAAAUCGAAUGGCUUGACCGAGUAAGUUGAUUUGUGACCAUUUUCAUGACAGUCCAUCAUGUCCAUCAUAAAAGGGCUACCUUCUUAGGUGGGCAGUCACAUUCUAUUGAUCCACGACGGUUUCCAUGACGGAUAGUAGAAAACCGUCAUCACCGGUGACGAUUUCUGAGAACGUCAUCAGAAAUCCGUCACGUAUUAACAGGUUUCUUGUAGUGUUCGUGUUUGCCGGUGAUCUACAACUACAAGUGGCAUCAGAGCCUCGGUGGUGUUCGGUCCAUCCUGGGCGCCGACGGUGUUUGAUCCGUCGGAGAGAUGGUCGGAAGCGACGAGGAGAAGGAACAGAAGAAGCUAAAGGAGGAACAGGCCAAGGCGGAGGCCUCGGCACUUGGGAAGUCCCUAGCCCGUCUCUCCACCGAGCAGGGAUGGAGCCAGAAAAUGAAGAUAGGGGGGCAAGAACUCGAAGCACUAAAAUCAUAGUAGGAUACAUGAUCAUAUACCUAGUAAAUAAUGAAAGAUCUAGAUAGUAAAUAUAUGUCUGUUGUUCUAUAAUAAUAAAAAAUUCAUAUCUAUUACCCCGCAAAAAAAUUUGAGUUGGUGUUUAGUUGCAUUUCGUUUGCAUCAGCAUCAUGUUCACAUGGCAGCGAGCUGGAAACAAUUGGCUUAAAAAUAUGAAUUGAUUCAGCCCUUUCUCUUUGUGUCUACACAGAUACAAUCAGGCGUCUAUUGAACGAACGUUCAGACAAUAUCCAUCUCGCAGGAUAGAAUUUGUAUAAUCUGAUUUUGCUAGCGCGACGUGAAUGCGUGAUUACGAACACAUAUUGCUAGCACGCCAUUGGCAAAUACGCCUGCACACCAUAGCACGCGCCCUAGUAGAUUCCUUUGACAAUUAGACUAAUUAGAAUUUACUAGUUAGUUGUAAAUGUUUCCAGUUCUAUAAUUCCAUUUAUACAAUUUGAAGGCAUAGAUAAACUAAUCUAAUGCUGAAAGUAAACUAACCCCUUUUUCUUUUGGUUUGGUCACUCCCUGUGGCCAGCCGGCCGGCAGCGCGCUCGUGAUCAUGGAUCGGCGACACUACCGCUGCCUGUCCCCUCCCCUCAACGAAGAGAUUCGACUCAGGAUCUCAGGCGGCCGGCGGUACGCUCGAUCUCAGGCGGCAGGAGUAGUGGGGAGGUUGGAAACGAAGCGAUUAGAGGAGAUCUUAAUCAUGCGUACGUUUUUUUAGGGAUGAAACUAUGUUUUUUUUGAGGCAAACCAACAAAGCUUUAUUCACCCGUCACACAGUUUACAGGGACGAACAAAAGAUCCCCAGGGUGGCCUAACCAUACAUGGCGGCCAACCCCGAGCGUUAACGCAUGCUUUGCUAGUCUGUGAGCCUCNNNNNNNNNNNNNNNNNNNNNNNNNNNNNNNNNNNNNNNNNNNNNNNNNNNNNNNNNNNNNNNNNNNNNNNNNNNNNNNNNNNNNNNNNNNNNNNNNNNNUGGCAAGCCGACAGGAAAAGUGUUUCAUGCUAAACCGGUCACCGCUUCACGUGGCCAUGUCAACUGUAUCUCUGCCGAAGAAGCUCAAGAAGAUCCCAACGUCGUUCUCGGUACGCUUCUUGUUAAUUGCCACCCGGCAUCUGUUCUUUUCGAUACAGGAGCCUCUCAUUCUUUUAUAUCUGAAAAUUAUGCUCGUUUGCAUAACGUUGCAUUCUGUGACUUGCCAUCCUCCAUGGUAAUUCAAACUCCGGGAUCCAAAUGGCAAACUUCUAGAGUAAGCCAUGGAAAUGAAAUCCAAGUCGAUAGACUUGUUUUCCUCGCAUCUUUGAUAGCCCUUAAAUCUUCAGAUAUUAAUAUCAUUUUGGGUAUGGACUGGAUGUCAGCUCAUCAAGCCAAAAUUGAUUGCUUCUCUAGGACUGUUCAACUCACCCAUCCUUCGGGAAAGAUAGUCAAUGUCUUGACCCGAAUAGCCAAGCGACAAUUAUUUUCUCUUAACGCCAGCCCUUUGCCAGACCUUGAGGACGUUCCGGUAGUCCGUGACUUCCCGGAUGUCUUUCCAGAGGAAUUGCCAGGUAUUCCACCUGACAGGGAUGUUGAGUUCGUAAUAGAUCUCAUUCCAGGAACCGUUCCGAUUGCUAGAAGACCUUAUAAGAUGGCACCCCUAGAACUAGCCGAGCUUAAGAAACAACUCGAUGAAUCCUUGAAAAAGGGUUUCAUCCGCCCUAGUUCAUCUCCGUGGGCUUGCCCCGUCCUAUUCGUUAAGAAAAAGGAUGGUACGGACCGGAUGGUUGUAGAUUACCGACCUGUCAAUUUGGUCACAAUCAAGAACAAAUACCCACUUCCCAGGAUCAACGAUCUGUAUGAUCAGCUCGCUGGAUCCUCAGUCUUCUCCAAGAUGGAUUUGAGGUUGGGCUACCAUCAAAUCAAAAUCAGAAACGGGGACAUUCCUAAAACGGCCUUUGUUACUCGUUAUGGCCAAUACGAGUACACCGUCAUGUCCUUCGGUCUAACCAACGCUCCAGCCACUUUUUCUCGGUUAAUGAACUCAAUCUUCAUGGAGUAUUUGGAUAAAUUCGUCGUGGUUUACCUCGAUGACAUACUCAUCUACUCCAAGAACGAGGAAGAACAUGCCGAACAUUUAAGGCUAGUGUUGAAGAAACUUCGAGAGCAUCGCCUUUAUGCCAAAUUCUCAAAAUGUGAAUUCUGGUUGUCAGAAGUGACCUAUCUGGGUCAUGUAAUAUCGGGUAAAGGUAUUGCUGUUAACCCUGAGCGAGUUCAAGCUAUCCUUGAUUGGACUCCACCUGAAUCGGUCAAGCAAGUUCGGAGUUUUCUAGGCUUAGCAAGCUAUUGCCGUCGCUUUGUCGAGAACUUCUCCAAAGUUGCUAAACCUCUAACCGAACUCCUCAAGAAAGAUAAGAAGUUCGAAUGGACUCCACAAUGUGAGCACAGCUUUCAGGAACUGAAAAGACGCCUGACCUCCGCUCCCGUACUGGUACCGCCAGACUUCUCCAAGGACUUUGUUAUCUACUGCGACGCCUCGCGACAAGGACUAGGUUGCAUUCUCAUGCAAGAUCGACACGUAAUUGCCUACGCUUCACGGCAGUUGCACCCACAUGAGGAGAAUUAUCCUACUCAUGAUCUAGAGCUUGCAGCCGUAGUCUAUGCACUUAAAACCUGGCGACAUUACCUCCUCGGUAAUCGUUGCGAAAUAUUCACUGAUCACCAAAGUCUGAAGUACAUCUUCACCCAACCGGAUCUGAAUCUCAGGCAAAGACGUUGGGUUGAAUUGAUCACAGACUUCGACUUAGGCAUAACCUACACCCCGGGGAAAGCCAACGUCAUGGCUGAUGCGCUAAGUCGUAAAUCUUAUUGUAACAACCUGAUGUUACAACAAAGUCAACCGCUUCUCCAUGAGGAAUUUCGGAAGCUUAACCUUCACAUUGUACCUCAAGGUUUUCUUUCCACCUUGGUAGCAAAACCUACUCUUACGGAUCAAAUCAUCGCUGCCCAAAAGCGAGAUAAGGGAAUAUCUAAAAUCAAAGAGAACAUUGCUAGCGGAGGUGCUAGUUGUUUCUCCACAAAUGAUCAUGGUGUUGUGUACUUUGAGGACCGUCUAGUGGUUCCCAAGAACCAGCAUCUACGGCAGUUGAUCCUUAAGGAGGCUCAUGAAUCUCCUCUCACCAUUCAUCCCGGUAGUACUAAGAUGUAUCAGGACCUACGCCAGAGGUUCUGGUGGACUAGGAUGAAGAGAGAAAUUGCUCAGUAUAUUGCCAAUUGCGACGUCUGUCGUCGUGUAAAGGCAGAGCAUCAACGGCCUGCUGGCACCCUUCAACCCUUAGCUAUUCCUGAAUGGAAAUGGGAUAAAAUUGGUAUGGAUUUCAUUACCGGUUUUCCUAGGACCAAAAGAGGGAAUAAUGCCAUUUUCGUUGUGGUCGAUCGUCUUUCCAAGGUAGCUCAUUUCCUACCUGUUCGUGAGAGUAUAACCGCUAGUCAGCUGGCAGACUUAUACAUCUCCCGAAUAGUGUCCCUCCAUGGUGUUCCUUUGGAAAUCAAUUCGGAUCGAGGAAGUCUUUUCACCUCUCGAUUUUGGGAAAGUUUCCAAAAUGCUAUGGGAACCCGUCUCUCCUUUAGCACCGCUUUCCACCCUCAGUCAAGUGGUCAAGUGGAACGCGUCAACCAAAUUCUAGAAGACAUGCUUCGAGCCUCUGUUAUCUCGUUCGGAAUGGACUGGGAGAAGUGCCUUCCAUUUGCCGAAUUCGCUUACAACAACAGCUAUCAAUCUAGCUUGGGUAAAGCCCCUUUUGAAGUUCUCUAUGGACGACGAUGUCGAACACCCCUUAACUGGUCAGAGACCGGGGAAAGACAAUUCUUUGGCCCGGAUAUGGUUCAGGAAGCAGAAGAACAAGUUCGUAUCGUUCGUGAAAAGUUGAAAACAGCCCAAUCCCGUCAAAAGAGUCAAUAUGACCGAAAACAUAAGGCUAUGACCUUCGAGGUUGACGAGAAGGCUUAUCUUCGGGUCACCCCUCUGAAGGGAACCCAUCGCUUCGGUAUCAAGGGCAAAUUGGCUCCUCGUUACAUUGGACCUUUUCGCAUUCUUGCCAAACGAGGAGAAGUUGCCUACCAAUUGGAACUACCUCCGCACCUCUCCAGAGUUCACGAUGUCUUCCACGUCUCUCAACUCAGGCGUUGCUUCUCGGAUCCUAUCCGUGAAGUGGACCACGAAACGCUUGAUCUCCAAGAUAAUCUUACAUAUCGAGAGUACCCCAUUCGUAUCCUCGAUCAGGCCGAGCGUACCACUCGACGUCAUAAUAUCAAGUUCCUCAAAGUUCAGUGGUCUCAUCAUUCUGAGGAUGAAGCAACUUGGGAAAGGGAGGAUCGUCUUCGACUCGAGUAUCCCGCCUUCUUCUCGGAGGAACCCAAAUCUCGGGACGAGAUUCUUUUGAGUGGGGGUGAGUUGUCACACCCUAGCUAGUCAUGCAUUAGAGUGUUGCAUCAUGUUUACUCUUUCAUCAGAAACUUGAAAUGGGGAUGACAGAACCCCCAGUCCCCUCUGAAACCAACUAGGGUUUACUAAAAUAAUUUUCAAUGAACCUGAAAUGCCCUUCUAAAAUGCCCAUCAUUUUUGUCUUGGUUCAGAACCUCUGCCAAAAGUGGUGCACAUUUUCCUAGGCCAUCCUAGGGUUUUGAAUUAAAUCAUAACUAUUUGAAUUUGGGCAUUUAAAAUAAUAUAAAAUAUUUAAAUGNNNNNNNNNNNNNNNNNNNNNNNNNNNNNNNNNNNNNNNNNNNNNNNNNNNNNNNNNNNNNNNNNNNNNNNNNNNNNNNNNNNNNNNNNNNNNNNNNNNNGGAGCCAGCUAAGAAGCCACCCCCUCAGGCUUCAUCUCCACUGCUAACUUUGAGCUUCCCAAGCCUGCGCGCUGCCCCUGACGCGGGUUCGGCUGGAGAGGUGGGCCGACCAGCAGUGUGCCUUGAGCCUGGGUCUUUGCCGCCUUUCCAUCGCGACCUUGCCCGGGACGUGAUCAGCUUGCCCUAGGCCCCUCCUCUGAUCGUGAACAGUGAAUGGUUGAAGUCGAUCUUCGGCUCUUCUUCUGGGGAUGGAUCUGCACUGGCCUGGGUCCCUUGCGGGGCCCAUCCAGCGAUUGUGGGGGCACCAGCCCCUAGCCCCCUGUCGAGAGGGGGCGAACCACUUCAGGGCCCUCCGCCAACACCGGCGGCGGAGGACGAUAUCGACGACAUGCUCAAGCGUGUGUGGGAGUGCAGCGCCAUCCGCUAAGAGUUUCUCCGGAAGGCGACAGACGCGAUGGGCCAGCUCGGUGGAGAGCUCGCGGACGUGGACGCGUGUCUUGAAGCCGAAGGCCUGCGGCUGGUUGAGGAGCGGUGCAAGCUAAAGGUGGGAGUCAUCCUUGCGUGUCAUCAGCGUGAUCUUGAAAACACAAAGGCCGAAGCAUCCCUUGUGGCCUCGCGAAAGGCCUUCUCCCGAGCCAUUGAGGACGCUCAGGAGGCAGACCGAUGUCGCGAGAUCGCGGAGAGGCGCGCGUGGCAGCUCCAAGCCUGGAGUACUUCCCUGGAGCAGCAAGUGGAGCUGCGCCAAGCUGCCCUUGCGUUGCUGAAGGGGAUGCCUGUCGAAGAGGAGGAGCUCCAGAAGCGCGAGGAAUCGCUAACGCUGGAGGCUGCCGAGCGCAACCUCGAUCUUGAGCGGUUGGAGACGAGGGAGCACCAGGUUACCCAGGCGGAGGACGACGUCGGUGCGCGGGAGGCCCGAAUCCAAGAAGAGAUCGAACGCCGCGUAGCGGAAGUCCACGCGGGCCUUGUGUGUGAGUAUGGUGAGAAGUUGGAGCUGAUCGAAGUCGAGGCUGCGAGCAGGACUGCCGCUCUCAGGACCAAGUUGACCGAAGCGACGCGGUGCGCGGAGGCCACCACAGCUGCCCUAGCCACGGCGCAGGCCGAGUGGGUCUCGUCCCUUGUUGAGUUGCUUCUUCUCCAACAGAGGGUCGAUGACGCCGAGGCCAUUGCUCGGCGGAACGAAGAAGAGAUUGCCAGACGCUGGAGCACAUGCAUGACCCCAUGCUCCAAACGCUCAGGGACAGGGCCAACACGGACCUUGGCAAUAUCUGUGAUGCGACUGCUAGACAACCUCAUGUGACCAAGUAUGCCGGCAAUCUCCAGUUAUUCACUGACGUGGUGACGCAUAUGGAGAAGGAACAAUGCUACUAUCCUUUUUACCACACUUGUGCUUUAAAGUAGCACGAUGAUCUUCAUGAUAGAGAGUCUCCUAUGUUGUCACUUUCAUAUACUAGUGGGAAUUUUUCAUUAUAGAACUUGGCUUGUAUAUUCCAAUGAUGGGCUUCCUCAAAAUGCCAUAGGUCUUCGUGAGCAAGUGAGUUGGAUGCACACCCACUUAGUUUCUUUUAUUGAGCUUUCAUACAUUUAUAGCUCUAGUGCAUCCGUUGCAUGGCAAUCCCUACUCACUCAGAUUGAUAUCUAUUAAUGGGCAUCUCCAUAGCCCUUUGAUACACCUAGUUGAUGUGAGACUAUCUUCUCCUUUUUUGUCUUCUCCACAACCACCAUUCUAUUCCACAUAUAGUGCUAUGUCCAUGGAUCACGCUCGUGUAUUGCAUGAAAGUUGAAAAAGUUCGAGAUUGCUAAAGUAUGAAACAAUUGCUUGGCUUGUCAUCGGGGUUGUGCAUGAUUAAAUACUUUGUGUGAUGAAGAUAGAGCAACAGCUAGACUAUAUGAUUUUGUAGGGAUAACUUCCGUUAGCCAUGUUAUUUUGAGAAGACAUGAUUGCUUUGAUUAGUAUGCUUGAAGUAUUACUAGUUCUUAUGUCAAUAUGAACUUUUAUUUUGAAUCAUUUGGAUCUGAACAUUCAUGCCACAAUAAAGAAAAUUACAUUGAGAAUUAUGCUAGGUAGCAUUCAACAUCAAAAAUUCUGUUUUUAUCAUUACCUACUAGAGGACGAGCAAGAAUUAAGCUUGGGGAUGGUUGAUACGUCUCCAAAGUAUCUAUAAUUUUUUAUUGUUCCAUGUUAUUAUAUUACCUGUUUUGGAUGUUUAUGGGCUUUAUUUUACACAUUUACAUCAUUUUUGGGACUAACCUACUAACCGGAGGCCCAGCCUUUAUUGAUGUUUUUUUUGCCUAUUUCAGUAUUUCGAAGAAAAGGAAUAUCAAACGGAGUCCAAAUGCAAUGAAACUUUCGGGAGUGUGAUUUUUGGAAUGAACGUGACCCAGAGGACUUGGAGUGCAAGUCAAGAGGCAGCCGAGGCUGCCACAAGGGUGGAGGGCGCGCCCACCCCCUGUAGGGCGCGCCCCCUAUCUCGUGGGCCCCUCAGGCGGCCACCGACCUACUUCUUCCUCCUAUAUAUACCCACGUACCCCGAGAACAUCAGAACAAGCCAUGAAAACCUAAUUCCACCACCGCAACAUUCUGCAUCCGCGAGAUCCCAUCUUGGAGCCUUCGUCGGUGCUCCGCCAGAGGGGGAAUCGACCAUGGAGGGCUUCUACAUCAACACCAUAGCCCCUCCGAUGAGUUGUAAGUAGUUUACCAUAGACCUUCAGGUCCAUAGUUAUUAGCUAGAUGGCUUCUUCUCUCUUUUUGGAUCUCAAUACCAUGUUUACCCCGAUCUUCUUGGAGAUCUAUUCGAUGUAACUCUUUUUGCGGUGUGUUUGUCGAGAUCCAAUGAAUUGUGGGUUUAUGAUCAAGUUUAUCUAUGAGAAAUAUUUGAAUCUCCUCUGAAUUCUUUUAUGUAUGAUAUAGUUAUCUUUGCAAGUCUCUUCGAGUUAUCAGUUUGGUUUGGCCUACUAGAUUGAUCUUUCUUGCAAUGGGAGAAGUGCUUAGCUUUGGGUUCAAUCUUGCGGUGUCCUUUCCCAGUGACAACAGGGGCAGCAAGGCACGUGUUGUAUUGUUGCCAUCGAGGAUAAAAAGAUGGGGUUUAUGUCAUAUUGCAUGAGUUUAUCCCUCUACAUCAUGUCAUCUUUCUUAAUGCGUUACUUUGUUCUUAUGAACUUAAUACUCUAGAUGCAUGCUGGAUAGCGGUCGAUGUUGUAAAGCCCAGGUAAUUAAGCUACAGUAAUCCCACGCUAAUGGUGCCACGUCACCACAGUUAUUGUUGUUAACCGUGCGAUGAUUCAAAACCAUUUCAAAAUUUAAAUUUAAAUUAAUGUCAACAAUAAAAGUUUUCAAAAUUUAAAACAAAAUUGUUCGGGAGGUGCCAUAUUUUGCAUAAGUAAAUAUGGUGUAAUAAACACAUUUUUAUAAAAUGCCUAGAUAAUUUAAAAUAAUUUAAAACAAAAAAGAAAUUACAAAAUAGAAAGAAACAAACAACCAAAAUAAAUAAAUAAAUGGACCCCCCCACUGGGCCUCGACCCAGCCGGCCCAAUCGGCCCAACCAUCCCGCACCCCCAUAACCUUCCCCACUCCUCCAGCUCGCCCACCGACACCCACACUCCCCCACCCCCGAAAUAUCCCCCCUCUCCCCCGAUUGGAUCGUGAUCGAGGGGGAGCCGCUCACCGCCGCGUCCCGAUGCCGUCUCGCCGCGAGGCCGCACCGCCAUCGCCGUCACCAUUCACCGGAGGAGCCUUGCCAGAGCUCNNNNNNNNNNNNNNNNNNNNNNNNNNNNNNNNNNNNNNNNNNNNNNNNNNNNNNNNNNNNNNNNNNNNNNNNNNNNNNNNNNNNNNNNNNNNNNNNNNNNGGAGCCAGCUAAGAAGCCACCCCCUCAGGCUUCAUCUCCACUGCUAACUUUGAGCUUCCCAAGCCUGCGCGCUGCCCCUGACGCGGGUUCGGCUGGAGAGGUGGGCCGACCAGCAGUGUGCCUUGAGCCUGGGUCUUUGCCGCCUUUCCAUCGCGACCUUGCCCGGGACGUGAUCAGCUUGCCCUAGGCCCCUCCUCUGAUCGUGAACAGUGAAUGGUUGAAGUCGAUCUUCGGCUCUUCUUCUGGGGAUGGAUCUGCACUGGCCUGGGUCCCUUGCGGGGCCCAUCCAGCGAUUGUGGGGGCACCAGCCCCUAGCCCCCUGUCGAGAGGGGGCGAACCACUUCAGGGCCCUCCGCCAACACCGGCGGCGGAGGACGAUAUCGACGACAUGCUCAAGCGUGUGUGGGAGUGCAGCGCCAUCCGCUAAGAGUUUCUCCGGAAGGCGACAGACGCGAUGGGCCAGCUCGGUGGAGAGCUCGCGGACGUGGACGCGUGUCUUGAAGCCGAAGGCCUGCGGCUGGUUGAGGAGCGGUGCAAGCUAAAGGUGGGAGUCAUCCUUGCGUGUCAUCAGCGUGAUCUUGAAAACACAAAGGCCGAAGCAUCCCUUGUGGCCUCGCGAAAGGCCUUCUCCCGAGCCAUUGAGGACGCUCAGGAGGCAGACCGAUGUCGCGAGAUCGCGGAGAGGCGCGCGUGGCAGCUCCAAGCCUGGAGUACUUCCCUGGAGCAGCAAGUGGAGCUGCGCCAAGCUGCCCUUGCGUUGCUGAAGGGGAUGCCUGUCGAAGAGGAGGAGCUCCAGAAGCGCGAGGAAUCGCUGACGCUGGAGGCUGCCGAGCGCAACCUCGAUCUUGAGCGGUUGGAGACGAGGGAGCACCAGGUUACCCAGGCGGAGGACGACGUCGGUGCGCGGGAGGCCCGAAUCCAAGAAGAGAUCGAACGCCGCGUAGCGGAAGUCCGCGCGGGCCUUGUGUGUGAGUAUGGUGAGAAGUUGGAGCUGAUCGAAGUCGAGGCUGCGAGCAGGACUGCCGCUCUCAGGACCAAGUUGACCGAAGCGACGCGGUGCGCGGAGGCCACCACAGCUGCCCUAGCCACGGCGCAGGCCGAGUGGGUCUCGUCCCUUGUUGAGUUGCUUCUUCUCCAACAGAGGGUCGAUGACGCCGAGGCCAUUGCUCGGCGGAACGAAGAAGAGAUUGCCAGACGCUGGAGCACAUGCAUGACCCCAUGCUCCAAACGCUCAGGGACAGGGCCAACACGGACCUUGGCAAUAUCUGUGAUGCGACUGCUAGACAACCUCAUGUGACCAAGUAUGCCGGCAAUCUCCAGUUAUUCACUGACGUGGUGACGCAUCUGGAGAAGGAACAAUGCUACUAUCCUUUUUACCACACUUGUGCUUUAAAGUAGCACGAUGAUCUUCAUGAUAGAGAGUCUCCUAUGUUGUCACUUUCAUAUACUAGUGGGAAUUUUUCAUUAUAGAACUUGGCUUGUAUAUUCCAAUGAUGGGCUUCCUCAAAAUGCCAUAGGUCUUCGUGAGCAAGUGAGUUGGAUGCACACCCACUUAGUUUCUUUUAUUGAGCUUUCAUACAUUUAUAGCUCUAGUGCAUCCGUUGCAUGGCAAUCCCUACUCACUCAGAUUGAUAUCUAUUAAUGGGCAUCUCCAUAGCCCUUUGAUACACCUAGUUGAUGUGAGACUAUCUUCUCCUUUUUUGUCUUCUCCACAACCACCAUUCUAUUCCACAUAUAGUGCUAUGUCCAUGGAUCACGCUCGUGUAUUGCAUGAAAGUUGAAAAAGUUCGAGAUUGCUAAAGUAUGAAACAAUUGCUUGGCUUGUCAUCGGGGUUGUGCAUGAUUAAAUACUUUGUGUGAUGAAGAUAGAGCAACAGCUAGACUAUAUGAUUUUGUAGGGAUAACUUCCGUUAGCCAUGUUAUUUUGAGAAGACAUGAUUGCUUUGAUUAGUAUGCUUGAAGUAUUACUAGUUCUUAUGUCAAUAUGAACUUUUAUUUUGAAUCAUUUGGAUCUGAACAUUCAUGCCACAAUAAAGAAAAUUACAUUGAGAAUUAUGCUAGGUAGCAUUCAACAUCAAAAAUUCUGUUUUUAUCAUUACCUACUAGAGGACGAGCAAGAAUUAAGCUUGGGGAUGGUUGAUACGUCUCCAAAGUAUCUAUAAUUUUUUAUUGUUCCAUGUUAUUAUAUUACCUGUUUUGGAUGUUUAUGGGCUUUAUUUUACACAUUUACAUCAUUUUUGGGACUAACCUACUAACCGGAGGCCCAGCCUUUAUUGAUGUUUUUUUUGCCUAUUUCAGUAUUUCGAAGAAAAGGAAUAUCAAACGGAGUCCAAAUGCAAUGAAACUUUCGGGAGUGUGAUUUUUGGAAUGAACGUGACCCAGAGGACUUGGAGUGCAAGUCAAGAGGCAGCCGAGGCUGCCACAAGGGUGGAGGGCGCGCCCACCCCCUGUAGGGCGCGCCCCCUAUCUCGUGGGCCCCUCAGGCGGCCACCGACCUACUUCUUCCUCCUAUAUAUACCCACGUACCCCGAGAACAUCAGAACAAGCCAUGAAAACCUAAUUCCACCACCGCAACAUUCUGCAUCCGCGAGAUCCCAUCUUGGAGCCUUCGUCGGUGCUCCGCCAGAGGGGGAAUCGACCAUGGAGGGCUUCUACAUCAACACCAUAGCCCCUCCGAUGAGUUGUAAGUAGUUUACCAUAGACCUUCAGGUCCAUAGUUAUUAGCUAGAUGGCUUCUUCUCUCUUUUUGGAUCUCAAUACCAUGUUUACCCCGAUCUUCUUGGAGAUCUAUUCGAUGUAACUCUUUUUGCGGUGUGUUUGUCGAGAUCCAAUGAAUUGUGGGUUUAUGAUCAAGUUUAUCUAUGAGAAAUAUUUGAAUCUCCUCUGAAUUCUUUUAUGUAUGAUAUAGUUAUCUUUGCAAGUCUCUUCGAGUUAUCAGUUUGGUUUGGCCUACUAGAUUGAUCUUUCUUGCAAUGGGAGAAGUGCUUAGCUUUGGGUUCAAUCUUGCGGUGUCCUUUCCCAGUGACAACAGGGGCAGCAAGGCACGUGUUGUAUUGUUGCCAUCGAGGAUAAAAAGAUGGGGUUUAUGUCAUAUUGCAUGAGUUUAUCCCUCUACAUCAUGUCAUCUUUCUUAAUGCGUUACUUUGUUCUUAUGAACUUAAUACUCUAGAUGCAUGCUGGAUAGCGGUCGAUGUUGUAAAGCCCAGGUAAUUAAGCUACAGUAAUCCCACGCUAAUGGUGCCACGUCACCACAGUUAUUGUUGUUAACCGUGCGAUGAUUCAAAACCAUUUCAAAAUUUAAAUUUAAAUUAAUGUCAACAAUAAAAGUUUUCAAAAUUUAAAACAAAAUUGUUCGGGAGGUGCCAUAUUUUGCAUAAGUAAAUAUGGUGUAAUAAACACAUUUUUAUAAAAUGCCUAGAUAAUUUAAAAUAAUUUAAAACAAAAAAGAAAUUACAAAAUAGAAAGAAACAAACAACCAAAAUAAAUAAAUAAAUGGACCCCCCCACUGGGCCUCGACCCAGCCGGCCCAAUCGGCCCAACCAUCCCGCACCCCCAUAACCUUCCCCACUCCUCCAGCUCGCCCACCGACACCCACACUCCCCCACCCCCGAAAUAUCCCCCCUCUCCCCCGAUUGGAUCGUGAUCGAGGGGGAGCCGCUCACCGCCGCGUCCCGAUGCCGUCUCGCCGCGAGGCCGCACCGCCAUCGCCGUCACCAUUCACCGGAGGAGCCUUGCCAGAGCUCNNNNNNNNNNNNNNNNNNNNNNNNNNNNNNNNNNNNNNNNNNNNNNNNNNNNNNNNNNNNNNNNNNNNNNNNNNNNNNNNNNNNNNNNNNNNNNNNNNNNCUUCCUACCAAACUUACGGCAAGGUUUACAUCAGGUCUAGUACACAGCAUGGCAUACAUAAUAGAUCCUAUGGCUGAGGCAUAGGGGAUGACACUCAUCUCUUCUUUAUCUUUUGCCGUGGUCGGGCAUUGAACCGAGCUCAAUAUCACACCUUGCAAUACAGGCAAGAACCCUUUCUUGGACUGAUCCAUUUUGAACUUCUUCAAAAUCUUAUCAAGGUAUGUGCUUUGUGAAAGACCUAUGAGGCGUCUCGAUCUAUCCCUAUAGAUUUUGAUGCCUAAUAUGUAAGCAGCUUCUCCAAGGUCCUUCAUUGAAAAACACUUAUUCAAGUAGGCCUUAAUGCUGUCCAAGAAUUCUAUAUCAUUUCCCAUCAAAAGUAUGUCAUCUACAUAUAAUAUGAGAAAUGCUACAGAGCUCCCACUCACUUUCUUGUAAACGCAGGCUUCUCCAUAAGUCUGCAUAAACCCAAACACUUUGAUCAUCUCAUCAAAGCGAAUGUUCCAACUCCGAGAUGCUUGCACCAGCCCAUAAAUGGAUCGCUAGAGCUUUCAUACUUUGUUAGCAUUCUUAGGAUCGACAAAACCUUCCGGCUGCAUCAUAUACAGCUCUUCCUUAAGAUAACCGUUAAGGAAUGCCGUUUUGACGUCCAUCUGCCAUAUCUCAUAAUCAUAGUAUGCGGCAAUUGCUAACAUGAUUCGGACGGACUUAAGCUUCGCUACGGGAGAGAAAGUCUCGUCGUAGUCAAUCCCUUGAACUUGUCAAUAACCCUUAGCGACAAGUCGAGCUUUAUAGAUGGUGACAUUACCAUCCGCAUCCGUCUUCUUCUUAAAGAUCCAUUUGUUUUCUAUCGAUCGCCGAUCAUCGGGCAAGUCAGUCAAAGUCCAUACUUUGUUUUCAUACAUGGAUUCUAUCUCCGAUUGCAUGGCUUCAAGCCAUUUGUUGGAAUCUGGGCCCGCCAUCGCUUCUUCAUAGUUCGAAGGUUCACCGUUGUCUAACAACAUGAUUUCCAGGACAGGGUUGCCAUACCACUCUGGUGUGGAACGUGUCCUUGUGGACCUACAAAGUUCAGUAGCAACUUGAUCCGAAGUACCUUGAUCAUCAUCAUUAAUUUCCUCUCCAGUCGGUGUAGGCACCACAGGAACAUUUUCCUGAGCUACACUAGUUUCAGGUUCAAGAGGUAGUACUUCAUCGAGUUCUACUUUCCUCCCACUUACUACUUUCGAGAGAAACUCUUUUUCCAGAAAGGAUCCGUUCUUGGCAACAAAGAUCUUGCCCUUGGAUCUUAAGUAGAAGGUAUACCCAAUAGUUUCCUUGGGGUAUCCUAUGAAGACGCAUUUUUCCGAUUUGGGUUCGAGCUUUUUAGGUUGAAGCUUCUUGACAUAAGCAUCGCAUCCCCAAACUUUUAGAAAUGACAGCUUAGGUUUCUUCCCAAACCAUAAUUCAUACGGUGUCGUCUCAACGGAUUUAGACGGUGCCCUAUUUAAAGUGAAUGUAGCUGUCUUUAGAGCGUAUCCCCAAAAUGAUAGCGGUAAAUCGGUAAGAGACAUCAUAUAUCACACCAUAUCCAAUAGAGUGCGAUUACGACGUUUGGACACACCGUUACGCUGAGGUGUUCCAGGUGGCGUGAGUUGUGAAAUGAUUCCACAUUUUCUUAAGUGUGUACCAAAUUCGUGACUUAAAUAUUCUCCUCCACGAUCCGAUCGUAAGAAUUUUAUCUUUCGGUCACGUUGAUUCUCUACUUCAUUCUGAAAUUCCUUGAACUUUUCAAAGGUCUCAGACUUGUGUUUCAUCAAGUAGACAUACCCAUAUCUACUUAAGUCAUCAGUGAGAGUGAGAACAUAACGAUAUCCUCCGCGAGCCUCAACGCUCAUUGGACCACACACAUCAGUAUGUAUGAUUUCCAAUAAGUUGGUUGCUCGCUCCAUAGUUCCGGAGAACGGAGUCUUGGUCAUUUUGCCCAUGAGGCAUGGUUCGCAUGUGUCAAAUGAUUCAUAAUCGAGAGACUCUAAAAGUCCAUCAGCAUGGAGCUUCUUCAUGCGCUUGACACCAAUGUGACCAAGGCGGCAGUGCCACAAGUAUGUGGAACUAUCGUUAUCCACUUUACAUCUUUUGGUAUUCACACUAUGAAUAUGUGUAACAUUACGUUCGAGAUUCAUUAACGAUAAACCAUUGACCAUCGGGGCAUGACCAUAAAACAUAUCUCUCAUAUAAAUAGAACAACCAUUAUUCUCGGAUUUAAAUGAGUAGCCAUCUCGCAUCAAACGAGAUCCAGAUACAAUGUUCAUGCUCAAACUUGGCACUAAAUAACAAUUAUUGAGGUUUAAAACUAAUCCCGUAGGUAAAUGUAGAGGUAGCAAGGACUUCAGUCCAUCUGUCGGCUAGCAAGUCUUGGUCAGCUCUAAGCUGCUGCUGUUUUUUCUUGAGGAUGCUCGCCGUGGCCAUAAGCCUGCGUUUGAAACGCUCUUGUUCAACAGGAUCCUCAGGCACGACAAAUUCGUCGUCGUCAAGGCUUGCCUCGUCUUCGAAGGGAGGCAUGUAAUUAUCGUCCUCUACCUCUCUGUCUGCCGCUCUCUCAUGAGGGCUGGCUUCUCCAUCCUCCUGUGCUGAAUCCUGCUGGAGGGGGUUGUCUUCGGCACUGUCCGGGGUGUUACUAUCUCCCGUGCCGGAAUCGCCGUUUUUGCUUUGGCGGGAUUUAGAGCGGCGCCUCUGACGCCGGCGCUUAGGCUGUUUCUUGGAGGGGUCAUCCUCCGUUGUUCCAUCGCCAUUCCCUUCUUUUGGGGUGUCCACUAUAUAUAUGUCGUAUGACGAGGUGGCUUUCCAGUGCCCUAUAGGCGCUGGUUCUUGGUCGUCUCCUGCAUCGGCGUCCAUACCAUCGAUGUCUUCGGAGUCGAAGUCGAGCAUGUCGAUUAAAUCAUCGACAGUGGCUACGAAGUGGGUGGUGGGUGGGCUUUGAAUUUCUUCGUCGUCUGCAUCCCAAUCUUGCUGACCAUAGUCCGGCCAGGGCUCUCCUGAUAAAGAGAGAGACUUUAGUGAAUUCAGGAUGUCGCCGAAGGGCGAGUGCUGAAAGAUGUCCGCGGUGGCGAACUCCAUGAUCGGCGCCGAAUCGGGAUCGAUCAGCAGGGGCGCGGAAGGUUCGGAGUCCGGAAAGGAGUCCGGCACCUUGGAGUCACGAGCUUCGCAAAGGACAAGGCUGGUGUUCGUCUCGAUCGCCAUAGAGAUUGCAGCUCCCGAGGCAGUGUCCAGCCACCCAUCCUCGAUUGGGCAGUCGGCUCCGAGCUAAGGGUCGGAGCGGACACUGGGGCGGUCUCCUGGGCACUGUUCGGCGACAGAGCUAGAUCAUGCCCAUCGUGACAGUGCAGCGCGCUUGGCUGUGGCUCGAACCCGUCGAAGAUCAAGUCUCCGCGGAUGUCAGCCGUGUAGUUCAAACUUGCAAACCUGACCUGAUGGCCAGGGGCCUAGCUUUCGAUCUGCUCCAGAUGACCAAGCGAAUUGGCCCGCAGUGCAAAGCCGCCAAAUACGAAGAUCUAUCGGGGGUGAAAAGUCUCACCCUGGACCGCAUUGUUGUUGAUGAUCGGAGGAGCCAUCGGGCCUAAAGAUGAUGACACAGGGGAACUCUCAAUGAAAGCACCAAUGUCGGUGUCAAAACCGGCGGAUCUCGGGUAGGGGGUCCCGAACUGUGCGUCUAGGCGGAUGGUAACAGGAGACAAGGGACACGAUGUUUUUACCCAGGUUCGGGCCCUCUNNNNNNNNNNNNNNNNNNNNNNNNNNNNNNNNNNNNNNNNNNNNNNNNNNNNNNNNNNNNNNNNNNNNNNNNNNNNNNNNNNNNNNNNNNNNNNNNNNNNAUCACACCCGUGCAGCUGCUCCUUCCGCUGGCAUCCUGCCAAGAACCUGCCGCUAGUCCACUCCUCUUUGUUUGUUGGCUCGAAGCCAUCAAGACACUUGCACAUUGGGACUGGUGCCGCCGUCUCAUCGCAGUAGCCAUACGGGCCACAGUAACCAUGGAGGUUGCAUUCAACAGCUGGCCACUUCAUAAGGACAACCCACGCCGACAAGUUGCUACUCCAGCUCUUGAGGUAAUACUCACCUGAGUAGGUCAGCACUGACCUUGUGAGUGGGGCGCCCUCAGAGAGGCUAUAUGUGCCAUAGAUCUCAUCACCGUUGUCGACCACGGCGAUGUACAUGAUAAGAUCACUAAAACUCAUUGUCCCUGCUAGCUGUUUUUGGCUGACGCUAGUCACUUGGAUCCCCGUCCAGGGAUUGCCACGGGUCACCAAGCUCUCCCCGUCCCACAGGAAUACUUGGAGGGGUGUGUCUGGGUCGCCACCGUAGGAGAAGCGCCCUGGAGAGGGAUCGUUGGGGCCCUUCCAGGAAACCAGACGAUCCCCAGUACCGUUUGUGCUGUAUUUGAUCCGCAUCUUCAUCCCCGGGAGGAGCGUGUCUGUGCGGUGGUCGAAGCUCUGCCACACUGUGGUGCCGUUUGACAAGCGAAUGAUGAGGUUGCCGGUGUUCAGAAGCACCGCCGUCGGGGUAGAUGAGCCCGGGGAAAUAGUUGUCACGUUGGCCCUCGUCCAAAGGAUACGGACACUAUUGUUAGCUUCGGAGAUAAUGAGAUUGGAGGUGUUGGUGAGGGAGAGCAUGGGUGCAAAGGAAGUGAUGUUGGUGACUGGGGUUUCACGGUUCGCAACCCACACAACUGUGAACUCAGAGAUGUUGUUGUACCAUAUACCAAGGUACAGCUUGGCUGGAGUGGAGUUGGAGGGGUUGAAGAAGCCCAAGGAGAACGUGCCACCAUCGGAGAUGAUGGUGUUGCCGGGAUACAGCGACUUGCCAGGGACAAGCCGGUCGUCCGAGCCGCACAACGGCAGGAAUAAAAUGAUCAGGGCCACGGUGCAGAGAGCCCGAGAAUCCAUCAAUCGACAAUGCAAAAAUCUUCGUUACUAAGCAGUAACUAGCUGUAGGCUAUAUAUAGUUGCUGCCAAAUGGAGAUAGCACUUGCAUCGAACCUUGGUCUACAAGUAAAUAUGUUUUCACGAACACAGGAAAGCAGCUUCCACGAAAGUUCUAUCGCAGAAGCAAACGAUUGAAUAAUGGAAAGUUGAGGGAUUCAAGAGUUGGUUUCAAAGUCUGAGUGCGUAGUUUAUAAUUCAGCUGUCCACACUGAAAUUUGGAUGCCACCAUCACUGCUGACUAGAUAGCCAUGUUUUUUCUACUUUUUCUACAUUAUGUUUUUGAAAUGACUAAAAGACGCACACAUAAUACUUACGUAGUCGCAGACACAUACUUAAGAGAAGAGUCAUGUAGUUUCAAAAUUAACAAAGUUACAAUAUGGAUGUAUUGCUAGCAACAAGGAAAUCACCCACCACGAAAAGAAAAAUUUGCAUUAGUUAGUCAUACAGAUCGAGUCAAACAUAACGUUCGAUCAGUCUCGGUGGUGGCUGAAAAAUAUAAUUCACCUCCUAACCUUCUAACCAAUGAUUGAUUUUUGACUAGUAGCUAUUGACCGAGACAUUGACCUAUACUGACCCGGCCACGAUCAUAUAUGGUCCAGCUCCGACGCGGCUAUUGGGUCCCAGUAUUUGAAGUUGUUGGUCAAACCUACAGGCAGAUGCGUGCAGUACCAACAGAAAAUGUAGUACUUCCAUUCUCAGACUGAAUUUUCUACAGUUUUAAUGUGCAGACUGAAUAUUCUCUUCCUCGUCAUGUAACAGCUGAAAAACAAAAAGAACCUGUAUAGUUUAAAAAGAAAAACUUUGCAGAUGGGUGAUGGAGCUACAAGCCUACAAAUGGAUUGUACCACCAUAAGACCUACUUAUGAAACAAUUUUGAGCUAUUUCAUGAAACUUUUGUUAUUAAGUGUUCUUUCAUGGAAUGUAUUUUCUAGUAUGGAAGACGGAUAGCUGACCUAUCUUCCCUCUAGAAGAGUAAUAAUCAGAAUGUUCAUUGAAUUUUGAUUUUUACAUGUUCUACCUACCUAUCAGUUAGCUACUUAUUUUGAUCUUCGCCAACUACCAUAGUUGAUUUCUGCUCACGACACGAUGGUUUCUCCUUUGGGACACGUUUGCUGAGAAGGGUGUGAUGAUGGUGUUUAUGCUUAUUUUAUCAUCAUCUUAGACUAGCAGUUGCAGAUGAACGCAUGCUUUUCAGUUUUCACACCCAUCAAUAUGUUUAUCUAAACUCGAAACGUUGAAUGUGACGCCCAAAUUUCGUCGGACUGCAUCAUUCUAUCCUACAAUUCUAUCUUCAAUAAACCACAACUUAAUUUCCAUUAUGAGAGCGAGAGAGAACAUUGGGAUCAAUGCAUGGUCAUGUUUUUUAUUUAAUAAUCCCUCCGUUGCUUUAUAUUAUGUGUAUUUAGUUUCUGAUAAAAUUUCACAAUGUAAGGUGUAUUUGUUCUAAUUCCUUGUAAUUCCAUUCUUGGCCCUCUAGAAAAAGGAAAAUAUCUCUCACCUGAUUGCAUGUAUCUCUCCCUGUAUAGAAAAAGGAAACUAUCUCUCUCAUGAUUAUGUGUAUCUAUUUCUUUUGCCUAAAUGAUUUACUUGCCCCUAAUGAACGAAAUUAACAAGGGUGAUUUUGUCCUAAAUUUCAUAUAAUAAUGUGCCUUGGUCACUACCAAAAAUAAGACACCUUACAUAAAUGAAUGGAGUAUAAAUGUAAGUACUUUACUGUGCAAAAUGACAUAGCUAGCAAUACCUACAGAAAAGGAAUGAAAACAUUGGAAGAUAACGACCUCCAACUAACUGAUACAUUGCCAUUUUGUUUCUUUAACGAAAUGUUUUUAAUUACGUAUAAGACUAAUCAUAAUCAUUCUACCGCCCUUAUAUAUCCGUAAGAGUAAGAUUGUUCAUGGAGUUUUGUAUGCCUACCCCGGUUUCUAAAUUUCCUUUUUUACCAUGCAAAACAUGCGCUCUGCUGAUUUCAUUAAGAUAGGAAAAAGAAAUAGAAUACAGAAGUUAUUUACAAGGGAUUUUUUUGAAAAGAUUUAGAAGGGACUAGCUAUAGAAAACUACAUGUUGGACAUUACCUAUGCUGCUCAAGGUCACUGUUGGGGAACGUAGUAAUUUCAAAAAAAAUCUUACGUCACACACAGGAUCAUGGUGAUGCAUAGCAACGAGAGGGGAGAGUAUGUCUACAUAACCUCGUAGAUCGAAAGUGGAAGCGUUAUAUCAACACGGUUGAUGUAGUCGUACGUCUUCACGAUCCGACCGAUCCAAGUACCGAAAGCACGGCACCUCCGAGUUCUGCACAUGUUCGGCUCGGUUACGUCCUCGCCUUCUCGAUCCAGCAAGAGGGGCGAAGUAGUAGAUGAGUUCCGGCAGCACGACGGCGUGGUGACGGUGUUGGUGAAUAACAAUCUCCGCAGGGCUUCGCCUAAGCACUACGAAAACUAUGACCGAGGAUAAACUAGAGGGGAUGGGGUAGCCGGCACAUGGCUUGGUGUUUCUUGAUGUGUCUUGGGUGCUACCCUACCCCUCUAUUUAUAUGUUGAGCCUUGGGGUCGAAACUUGGAGUAAAAGCCUCCACAAAAUCGGUUUCACCCGAAAGGCAAGAGUCCUUCUCGGACUCCAGGGCCAGACGCCAGGGUCCNNNNNNNNNNNNNNNNNNNNNNNNNNNNNNNNNNNNNNNNNNNNNNNNNNNNNNNNNNNNNNNNNNNNNNNNNNNNNNNNNNNNNNNNNNNNNNNNNNNNGUAAAAGACAUAAAGUAAAAGAUAGGCCCUUCACAGAUGGAAGAAGAGGUUGUCAUGUUCUUUUAGGGUUGGAUGCACAAAAUCUUAAUGCAAAAGAACAUCACUUUAUAUUGCCACUUGUGAUAUGAAACUUUAUUAUGCAGUCCAUCGCUUUUAUUACUUACAUAUCACACGAUCGUAUAAAGCUUAUGUUCUCCGCACUAAUAAGUCAUACAUAUUUAGAGAGGAAUUUUUAUUGCUUGCAACAUGACAACUUACUUGAAGGAUCUUACUCAAUCCAUAGGUAGGUAUGGUGGACUCUCAUGGCAAAAACUGGGUUUAAGGAUAUUUGGAAGAACAAGUAGUAUCUCUACUUGGUGCAAGGAAUUUUGGCUAGCAUGAGGGGGAAAGGCAAGCUCAACAUGUUUGAAUGAUCCAUGACCAUAUACUUUAAUUGAGAUGUGAGAAAACAUAAACCAUUACGUUGUCUUCCUUAUCCAACAUUAACUCUUUAGCAUGUCAUACUUUAAUGAGUGCUCACAAUUAUAAAAGAUGUCCAAGAUAGUAUAUUUAUAUGUGAAAACCUCUCUUUCUUUAUUACUUCCUAUUAAUUGCAACGAUGACCAAAACUAUGUUUAUCAACUUUCAACAACUUUUAAGUCUCAUACUCUUUAUAUGUGAAGUCAUUACUAUCCAUAAGAUCAAUAUGAACUCUUUUAUUCUCUUUUUUAUUCUUUCUAUUUUAUCAAAAUCAUAGCAAGAUAGGAAAGCCUUGACUCAACACUAAUCUUUAUUCUAUAGCUCACGGACUCGAUUACAUAAAGGGAUCACAAAGCAAAAUUCAAAACUAAUUCAUACCAAAACUUCAUUCUACUAGGUCAAGAUAUUACAAAAAGGAUCGAACUAAGAAAAACGGUAAAGACAGGAGUGUGAUGGUGAUAUGAUACUGGGGCACCUCCCCCAAGCUUGGCAGUUGCCAAGGGGAGUGCCCAUACCCAUGUGAUUAUGUCCUCGAAGGUGAUGAAGGUGGAGUUGUUGAUGAUGUAGGCUUGUCGUCCGUCUUCCAAGGCAUAGGCUCACCAUCAUAGAACGAGUCUCCGAGAUCCUCAAAUCUGCAGCCAAACUCAUCCUCUUGAAUCUAUAUUCAUACUCACAGUUUUGGUUUUGCGGGUCAUGGAUCUGGGCUUGGAGAUGCUCGAUUUUUUCAUGAAGCUUGAAGAUGGUCUCCCCAAUGUUCUUGGCGUCCAGCUUGUGGUUGUUGGUGAAUUCCACGAUCAUCAUCUAGUUGGUGUUAGGUCCACGCUCCACCAUCCCUUGGCACUUGAAAACUUGUUGUUCCAUAGCUUCCAGCUUUGUCUCCACGCUUCCGGUACGCCUUGGUCCCUCCACUUCGCGGAUGUGCAGCACCCCCUCAAGAUAGGGGUUGAUAACUGUCGGUGUCCAAACCGGCGGAUCUCGGGUAGGGGGGUCCCGAACUGUGCGUCUAGGCGGAUGGUAACAGGAGACAAGGGACACGAUGUUUUACCCAGGUUCGGGCCCUCUCGAUGGAGGUAAAACCCUACGUCCUGCUUGAUUGAUAUUGAUAUUGUGGAUGUUUACAAGAGUGGAUCUACCACGAGAUCAAGGAGGCUAAACCCUAGAAGCUAGCCUAUGGUAUGAUUGUAAGGGUUGUUGUUGUUGUUGUUGUUGUUGUUGUUGUUGUUGUCCUAUGGACUAGAGCCAUCCGUUUUAUAUAGACACCGGAGAGGGCUAGGGUUACAUAGAGUCGGUUACAAUGGUAGGAGAUCUAUGUAUCCGUAUCGCCAAGCUUGCCUUCCACGCCAAGGAAAGUCCCAUCCGGACACGGGACGAAGUCUUCAAUCUUGUAUCUUCAUAGUCUUGGAGUCCGGUAGAUGAUGAUAGUCCGGUCGAUGAUAGUUCGGCUGAUGAUGGUAGUCCGGCUAUCCGGACACCCCCUAAUCUAGGACUCCCUUAGUAGCCCCUGAACCAGGCUUCAAUGACGAUAAGUCCGGCACGUAUAUUGCUUGGCAUUGCAAGGCGGGUUCCUCCUCCGAAUGAUAGAAGAUUGUGAACACCAGGAUAGUGUCCGGCUCUGCAAAAUAAAUUCCACAUUCCACCAUAGAGAGAAUAAUAUAUACACAAGUUCAAUCUGCUGACGUUUUUUGUGGCAUGACGUCACGCCACUACCAAGCCAUUACUUGAAUCGUUUUUUACUCUACCACCUCAGCGCAUUUAGCGAAGUGGUUUCCUUGGCACGUCUUGUCGAAGCAGAGAUCGUGUUCCCCCUUAAUCCGGGAUUCUCAUCAAUACGGACGUGGGUAACCCAACCGCGCCAUUGAUGGUGACGCUUGGGGGAUAAGCGAGUUUUACCAAGCUAGUGGGGGACGCGUAGACUUCGCCCGCCCAUAUAAGGGAUAAGGAUUCACCUUUUCACCUACGCCUUCUUCCUCCUUUGCUUAUCCAUCUCCGCGCACUCGAGCUCCAGCGCCCAAGGCCGCACAUCUCGUCUCAACCUUCCCCACUUAUAUCCGGAGUGGGAGGCAAGUGGAUGACCUCCUCCGUCACGGAGGAGCACAUCGAAAGACUGCGCAGCGCCGGCCACCUGUCCGGCGACAUCGCGCACCGGCUGCCCGACGAGGGGCAGCUCAUCCCCACCCCCAGGCCGCAUGAGAGGGUCAUUUUUCUUCCCCACUUCCUCCGCGGAAUGGGGUUUUCCACUUCAACCCUUUGUCCGGGGGCUCAUGUUCUACUACGGCCUGGAUUUCCAUGAUCUGGCACCGAACUUCAUCCUCAACAUCUCGGCGUUUAUCGUCAUGUGCGAGUCCUUCCUCUGCAUCCAGCCCCACUUCGGCUUGUGGCUCAAGACCUUCAAUGUCAAGCCGAAGGUAGUGAAGGGCACUCAUCCGGAGUGCGGAGGCGCCAUGUUGGGCAAGAUGCCCAAUUUCCUUUGGUUCGAAGGGGCCUUCGUGGAAUCCGUCAAGGGGUGGCAAUCGGGGUGGUUCUAUAUCACCGAGCCGCGCGACCCUAAGUGGGCGGAGGCCCCCGAGUUCAGAUCUGGUAUCCCCAUGCAGCUCACCUCCUGGAAAGAGAAGGGCUUGCUGUGGGGUAGCUCGGAGGAGCUGACGGGACUCCAAGCCUGUAUCCAGAAGCUGGUGAAGAAGCUUAGGCUGGUUAACAUGGUCCAAGUCAUGCUCGUCCGCCGGAUUCUCCCAUGCCAAGAGCGGGCAUUCAAUCUGUGGGAGUUCAAUCCGGAACAGCACCAGGCGCUGAGCAGGCUCUUUGACACGACGUACGAAGGCGCCUGGAGGGUGCUUUUUAAGGGCGCCGAAGCCCCCGCAUCCGCGACUGAAGAUCGCGGAUUUCGCUCGCAACGCCAAGCCGACGAGGUAAGUGAUUCUACCCCUUUACGGGACACUUGCUUUUCAUAGUUUGACUCUAUGCGGGUUUUAAUUUCCCCUUUUCCUUUGACAGGACUGGAUGUGGAAGGCGGAGCAGAUUAUCUGCCUGGCUCCCAUGCCAGAAAACCCAGUAGACGCCCAUCUAGCGAAGCUGCUGGUUCCGGCACCGCACAUGGUGCCGGAGAAGAAGGCCAAGAAGGAGGCCACGGGUGCUCGAAAGAGUUCCCGUUUUUAGGUGUCCGACGACUCCGGGGCGGACUCCUCCCCCGAAAACGAGGAGGAGAAAGAGGACUCUCUCCCAGAGGAGGGAGAGAGGAAGAGGAAGGCUUCCCCAACAGGGGAGGCCGAAGGGUCCAAGAGGGGAANNNNNNNNNNNNNNNNNNNNNNNNNNNNNNNNNNNNNNNNNNNNNNNNNNNNNNNNNNNNNNNNNNNNNNNNNNNNNNNNNNNNNNNNNNNNNNNNNNNNAAUGAUGGUAAAUGUCACCAUUAAGAAAGCUCGACUUGUCGUUAAGAUGUUUUCCGACAAGUUCAAGGAGUUGACUACGAUGAGAUUUUCUCACUCGUAGCGAUGCUAAGAGUCUGUUGGAAUUAUAUUAGCGAUUACUGCAUUAUUUAUGAAAUCUUGCAGAUAGGAUGUCAAAACAUUGUUUCCUCGACGAUUUUAAUGAGGAAAGGUUGUAUGUGAUACAACCGGAAGGUUUUGUCAAUCCCGAAAGAUGCUAAUAAGUAUGCAAAGCUCCAGCAAUCCUUCUAAGGACUGGAGUGAGCAUCUCGGAGUUGGAAUGUAUGCUUUGAUGAUGAUCAAAGAUUUUGGGUUUGUACAAAGUUUAUGAGAAACUUGUAUUUCCAAAGAAGUGAGUGGGAGCACUAUAGAAUUUCUGAUGAGUAUAUGUUGUUGACAUAUUGAUGAUCAGAGAUGAUGUAGAAUUUCUAGAAAGCAUAUAGGGUUAUUUUGAAAGUGUUUUUCAAUGGAAAACCUGGAUUAAGCUACUUGAACAUUGAGCAUCAAGAUCUAUAAGGAUAGAUCAAAACGCUUAAUAGUACUUUCAAAUGAGCACAUACCUUGACAUGAUCUUGAAGGUGUUCAAGAUGGACCAGUCAAAGAAGGAGUUCUUGCCUGAGUUGUAAGGUACGAAGUCAAGACUUAAAGCUCGACCAUGGCAGAAUAGAGAGAAAGGACGAAGGUCGUCCCCUAUGCUUAAGAUGUAGGCUCUUCAGUAUGCUGUGCUGUGUACCGCACCUGAAGUGUGCCUUGCCAUGAGUCAGUCAAGGGGUACAAGAGUGAUCCAAGAAUGGAUCACAGGACAGCGGUCAAAGUUAUCCUUAGUAACUAGUGGACUAAGGAAUUUUCUCAAUUAUGGAGGUGGUAAAAGAGUUCGUCGUAAAGGGUUACGUCGAUGCAAGCUAAACACCUAUCCGGAUAGCUCUGAGUAGAGAUACCGGAUACGUACAAUGGGGCAACAAUUUAGAAUAGUUGCAAGUAGAACAUUUAUUUGGAAUAGCUCCAUAUAGAGCGUGGUAGCUGCAUCUAGGAGAUGACAUAAAGAUUUGUAAAGCACACACGAAUCUGAAAGGUUCAGACCCAUUGACUAAAACCUCUCUCACAAGCAACAUGAUCAAACAUAAAACUCAUUGAGUGUUAAUCACAUAGUGAUGUGAACUAGACUACUGACUCUAGUAAACUCUUGGGUAUUAGUCACAUGGCGAUGUGACCUGUGAGUGUUAAUCACAUGGCGAUGUGAACUAGAUUAUUGACUCUAGUGCAAGUGGGAGACUGUUGGAAAUAUGCCCUAGAGGCAAUAAUAAAAGUAUUAUUAUUAUAUUUCCUUGUUCAUGAUAAUUGUCUUUUAUUCAUGCUAUAACUGUAUUAUCCGGAAAUCGUAAUACACGUGUGAAUACAUAGACCACAAUAUGUCCCUAGUGAGCCUCUAGUUGACUAGCUCGUUGUGAUCAACAGAUAGUCAUGGUUUCCUGGCUAUGGACAUUGGAUGUCGUUGAUAACGGGAUCACAUCAUUAGGAGAAUGAUGUGAUGGACAAGACCCAAUCCUAAGACUAGCACAAAUAUCGUGUAGUUCGUUUGCUAGAGCUUUGCCAAUGUCAAGUAUCUCUUCCUUUGACCAUGAGAUCGUGUAAUUCCUGGAUGCCGUAGGAGUGCUUUGGGUGUAUCAAACGUCACAACGUAACUGGGUGACUAUAAAGGUGCACUACAGGUAUCUCCGAAAGUAUCUAUUGUUUUAUGCGGAUCGAGACUGGGAUUUGUCACUCCGUGUAAACGGAGAGGUAUCUCUGGGCCCACUCGGUAGGACAUCAUCAUAUGCGCAAUGUGACCAAGGAGUUGAUCACGGGAUGAUGUGUUACGGAACGAGUAAAGUGACUUGCCGAUAACGAGAUUGAACAAGGUAUUGGAUACCGACGAUCGAAUCUCGGGCAAGUAAAAUACCGCUAGACAAAGGGAAUUGAAUACGGGAUCGAUUGAGUCCUUGACAUCGUGGUUCAUCCGAUGAGAUCAUCGUGGAACAUGUGGGAGCCAUCAUGGGUAUCCAGAUCCCGCUGUUGGUUAUUGACCGGAGAACGUCUCGGUCAUGUCUGCAUGUCUCCCGAACCCGUAGGGUCUACACACUUAAGGUUCGAUGACGCUAGGGUUAUAAAGGAAGCUUGUAUGUGGUUACCGAAUGUUGUUCGGAGUCCCGGAUGAGAUCCCGGACGUCACGGGGAGUUCCGGAAUGGUCCGGAGGUAAAGAUUUAUAUAUAGGAAGUCCUGUUUCGGCCAUCGGGACAAGUUUCGGGGUCAUCGGUAUUGUACCGGGACCACCGGAAGGGUCCCGGGGGCCCACCGGGUGGGGCCACCUGCCCCGGGGGGCCACAUGGGCUGUAGGGGGUGCGCCUUGGCCUACAUGGGCCAAGGGCACCAGCCCCAAGAGGCCCAUGCGCCUGGGGAAACCCUAAAGGAAGAGUCCCAGCAGGGGAAGGCACCUCCUAGGUGCCUUGGGGGGGGGGGAGGACUCCUCCCCUGGCCGCCGCCUCCUUGGAGAUUGGAUCUCCUAGGGGCUGGCGCACCCCCCCCCCUUGGGAUCCCUAUAUAUAGUGGGGUAGGAGGGCCUCCCAAACACACCUUAUGCCUUUGGUGCAGCCCCUCCCUCUCUCCCAAGUUACUCUCCUCUUCUCCCAUGGUGUUUGGCGAAGCCCUGCGGGAUUGCCACGCUCCUCCACCACCACCACGCCGUUGUGCUGCUGUUGGAUGGAUUCUUCCUCAACCUCUCCCUCUCUCCUUGCUGGAUCAAGGCGUGGGAGACGUCACCGGGCUGUACGUGUGUUGAACGCGGAGGUGCCGUCCGUUCGGCACUUGAUCAUCGGUGAUCUGAAUCACGACGAGUACGACUCCAUCAACCCCGUUCACUUGAACGCUUCCGCUUAGCGAUCUACAAGGGUAUGUAGAUGCAAACUCUCCUCUCCUUUCUACUCGUUGCUGGUCUCUCCAUAGAUAGAUCUUGGUGUUACGUAGGAAAAUUUUUGAAUUUCUGCUACGUUCCCCAACAUGAGUGUCAUCCCCUAUGCCUCAGCCAUAGGUUCUAUUAUGUAUGCCAUGCUGUGUACCAGACCUGAUGUAAACCUUGCCGUAAGUUUGGUAGGAAGGUACCAAAGUAAUCCCGGCAAGGAACACUGGACAGCGGUCAAGAAUAUCCUAAAGUACCUGAAAAGGACUAAGGAAAUGUUUCUCGUUUAUGGAGGUGACGAAGAGCUCAUCGUAAAGGGUUACGUCGACGCUAGCUUCGACACAGAUCUGGAUGACUCUAAGUCACAAACCGGAUACGUGUAUAUUUUGAAUGGUGGGGCAGUAAGCUGGUGCAGUUGCAAGCAAAGCAUCGUGGCGGGAUCUACAUGUGAAGCGGAGUACAUGGCAGCCUCGGAGGCAGCACAUGAAGCAAUAUGGGUGAAGGAGUUCAUCACCGACCUAGGAGUCAUACCCAAUGCGUCGGGGCCGAUCAAGCUCUUCUGUGACAACACUGGAGCUAUUGCACUUGCCAAGGAGCCCAGGUUUCACAAGAAGACAAGGCACAUCAAGCGUCGCUUCAACUCCAUUCGUGAAAAUGUUCAAGAUGGAGACAUAGAGAUUUGUAAAGUACAUACGGACCUGAAUGUAGCAGAUCCGUUGACUAAACCUCUCCCUAGAGCAAAACAUGAUCAACACCAGAAUUCCAUGGGUGUUNNNNNNNNNNNNNNNNNNNNNNNNNNNNNNNNNNNNNNNNNNNNNNNNNNNNNNNNNNNNNNNNNNNNNNNNNNNNNNNNNNNNNNNNNNNNNNNNNNNNGCUAGGGCGGGGAUCCCCAAGCAAAUGAGGCGUAAUUUUGACACUAUGGCCAUCCUUCUUCAUUGGAGGAUCUGGAAGGAAAGAAAUGCAAGGAUCUUCGAUAAUGCGGCGAGCACUCCUGACAGGGUUCGGGACCUUGUCUUGGAAGAUAUACACAUAUGGAGAUCAGCCGGCUGUAUCAGCGACUUGGCGACAUAAGCCUAGUCUGUUCUGUAUCUCAUUGGCCACUACUCGUGCGGCGAGAACGAGGGUCGAGCCUAUCUGGAAGCUGGCGAAGGAUAAUCAGUUCUCUGCCUAGAUGUAGUCCUGAUAACGGACUGAUUAUAAUGCUCUCUGUCUCCCCUGCGUUGACGAGCUUGUGUUCUUUUGGGUUUCAGCUCUAGUUCUCCUAGGCUGUUUCCCAUGCUGUAUUCUUUUCCUUCAAUCUAAUAAAGUACGGCCAUUGGCCCUUCGGUACAGUUUCUUCAUCCUCUUUGUGCCAUGGCUGUCCACCUCUUCGUCCUCACCAGUCCGGUCGCAACGUUUCCCUAGCACGCCUCCCACUGCGGAGCACACACAGCUCGAUGCGGCGUCGCCAUCAGACAGCACCUCUUCAACCACUCCAAACAGCGGGUCAAAGUCAGCGAAUCCCUCGACCACGCCUCUAGCUAUGCGGCCAUAGGUGUACCCGGCAGCAGCCUUUCCAUUUGCAGGAUUUUCUUCCAUCGUUUUGCAUUCAGGCAGCUGGUCAUAAUAAAAACACCAAUAAAUAUUAUUGUGACUAAUUUUUUCUGAAGAUCGACCGAACAGAUACCUUAUAUGACAGAACAUCAUGACGAGAGAGUAGAGACUCUGCUUCCACGCCGCACCCUACAUCAAGAUAGCACUGACACUACUAGGAAAAGGCCUACUAAUGGCGCACCGGUUUUGCCUACUAAUGGCACACUACCGGUGUGCCAUUAGUAUCACGCCACUAUUAUUUUUACUUAGUAUCUGGUAUACUAAUGGCGUACCAUGCAGUGCGCCAUUAGUUUUGCCCACAGUGCACCACUAGAGUCUGCUAUACUAAUGGCGCACCACAUGGUAGUGCGCCAUUAGUAACAAUUUUUUUAAUUUUUUUUCUUAAUCUCAGGUCACUAUUUCACAUAUGAGAUAUCGAACACAUAUAUAUACAACAAGCAUCCAUAUAACAAUCAUAGCCAAUACACAAGUUUCAUCAUCUAUACAUACAUAGCCAACACAUAGUUCCAUCGUUACAUAUUAGAAAAGUUUCACAUUGUUCAUCCAACACCGUUAUCCAUCAAUUCACAAAAGUUUCACAUUGAUACAAAAUAAAAACACAAAUGGAAAAGAAGCACUCCAUCCAUGCAAGCUUCCGUGAAUUAAAUCAAAUCUGCAAAAUGAUAAACAAGAAGUUAGAAGAAGAAGAAGAAGAAGACUAGAAGAAUACUAGAAGAAGAAGAACACUAGAAUAAGAAUAAGAAGAAUUUUCGAAAAAAGAAGAAUAAGAAGAAGACUAUAAGCUUACUAUGUAAACUUGAUCAUUUUGUGCUAACAUAAGUAAUUUUGGAGCUAACCUAUAGGAAACUAAGCAUAUAAGCUCUAAGUUAGCAUAUUAGAGCCAACUUAGGUAAAAUGAAGCUAACCUAUGUCAUUUUGGAAAAGAAGAAGAAUAAGAAGGAGACUAUAAGCUUAUUAUGUAAACUUGAUCAUUUUGUGCUACCAUAAGUUAUUUUGGAGCUAACCUAUAGGAAACUAAGCGUAUAAGCUCUAAGUUAGUAUAUUAGAGCCAACUUAGGUAAAAUGAAGCUAACCUAUGUCAUUUUGGAAAAGAAGAAUAAGAAAAAGACUAUAAGCUUAUUAUGUAAACUUGAUCAUUUUGUGCUAACAUAAGUUAUUUUGGAGCUAACCUAUAGGAAACUAAGCAUAUAAGCUCUAAGUUAGCAUAUUAGAGCCAACUUAGGUAAAAUGAAGCUAACCUAUAGGAAACUAAGCAUAUUAGAGAUAACAUAGGUAACUAAGUAUAUAUAUAUAUCAUUUUGGAGAUCUGACAUACCUGACAAAGUUCAGUUCUCAUGCAUUGUUCUUCUCCUUCUCCUUCCUCAGCCUGAUGCGCCAAGAGUGGCGAGGCAGUGGAGGCAGUGGGAUGUAGUCUUCUACCACAAUUGGCGUGGUCAUGUCGCCCAGCUGUGGGAUCGUCGGCGCCACCACCGGUGCGUGGUCAUUGUCAGGCACCACCACCAUCGCGAGACCACCUUCAGGCACGACCAUCGCUAGGUCAUCCUCAGCCACCUCCAUCUCUUGCCCAUGGUCAGCCACCACCAUCUCUUGACCAUUGAGGGAGUCCUGGACUAGGGGGUGUCCGGAUAGCCGAACUAUCAUCAUCGGCCGGACUCCAAGACUAUGAAGAUACAAGAUUGAAGACUUCGUCCCGUGUUCGGAUGGGACUUUCCUUGGCGUGGAAGGCAAGCUUGGCGAUACGGAUAUGUAGAUAUCCUACCAUUGUAAUCGACUCUGUGUAACCCUAGCCCUCUCCGGUGUCUAUAUAAACCGGAUGGCUUUAGUCCGUAGGACGAACAACAAUCAUACCAUAGGCUAGCUUCUAGGGUUUAGCCUCCUUGAUCUCGUGGUAGAUCUACUCUUGUAACACACAUCAUCAAUAUUAAUCAAGCAGGACGUAGGGUUUUACCUCCAUCAAGAGGGCCCGAACCUGGGUAAAACAUCGUGUCCCUUGUCUCCUGUUACCAUCCGCCUAGACGCACAGUUCGGGACCCCCUACCCGAGAUCUGCCGGUUUUGACACCGACAUUGGUGCUUUCAUUGAGAGAUCCUCUGUGUCGUCGCAAUCAGGAAGGAUGCCUUUUCCCGUCUUUAAAGACGGCACCGUCAUCAAGGGAGCUUUGGCCGCCGGCCAAACUAUCCGGCUAGGUGGUUUUCUUAUGACCGCCUGUUCGGCCACCGCUCUGACGAUGACCUCUCAGGUCAUCAAAAGCGAUCUUCACGUCAGCUCGGAAUUCGUCGAGCAGCUAGAUCCGAUGGAGCUCUCCUCCGUAAACGAGCUCUUGGAUCGCAUCGCCGCCCUGGGAGUCGCUACAGACUACGAUCAGAUAGGGCUUAAAACCGAUCUGAGAGAAAUUAACUCUCCCCAGGCUACCCACCACGUUGUUGUGGUAGAGGAACAAUGCGGCGACCCUUCUUCUAUGUUAAAAACCAGCUAUGUCCGGAUUCCCGAUCCCUCCAUGCCGGAUUCCCGCGGAGGGACGGACGUCAAUCAAAUACUGAACCUAAAGUCAGGCAUCGGACUAGAUUUGUUGGAAAGCAUCCAACAAACCAAGCUUCCAAAUCCGGAAACUUCUUAGCCUUUGAGCCUCAGAUCGGGCGGGGUUCCGAACUUAAUUCCACCCGCCCACCCAAACAUAAGCGAUCUAUCUCAAAUAUGGCAAGAGCCCGAUGAAACAGUACAUCAUUGCUGGCCCAGAUUCCUCCUGGUUAUGAACAGGAUAAAGGACUGCCGUGAAGAAAGCGCGAUUUCAAUUUUCUGCAACAAUUGCACGGACAAGGGAAUCAUAAACACCAUAAGUCGUCCCGAAGUUACACGCUUCGCCGACCUAGGGACCAUUGUACAAAAAUACUGGGCGAUGGAGAGUGCCUGGAAAACCGAAACCAGGUUUUGGGACAAUCCGGCCCUGAAUAUAACCCCAGUCCGAAAUAAAAGGGUGCGUCAUGCUCAAGCACCGGGAUUAAAAACCAAAAAGCAAAAAAAANNNNNNNNNNNNNNNNNNNNNNNNNNNNNNNNNNNNNNNNNNNNNNNNNNNNNNNNNNNNNNNNNNNNNNNNNNNNNNNNNNNNNNNNNNNNNNNNNNNNGAGAGCAGGAGCGAGAACAUGGGAUUGUAUCGAUAUGAUCAAAUGGUUGGUUGCUUGCCUGAUGGUUCGAUGCACGGAUACGGUUCUUCGUUAGGGUAAUCACGGUACUCCUCGGGGACAGAUCCUGUCGCAAAGGACAUCGAUACACAAGCAUCACCAAACAAUGUGCAACAAUAUGAUGCAUGCAUGAAACAUGGCAAUAUGAGUGUGUUGGGCUAAUGCAACUAAAACCAGAAGUGUUUGAACAAAUUUGAAUCAAGGAUUCAAAUUUCAAAUUCAAAUAUGGCCUUUUAAAGUGCUUUUCCUUGUUCUGAUUAAAACAUCAAUUUAACUUGUUUGAUCAUGCAUGAAAAUAGUACAGAUGGAUAGAUUGGAUUUUUCUGAUCAUUUUUCAUAUAUAAUUUGUCCAAUUUGGAGUUACAGAAUAAAAGUUAUGAAUUUUUGAAGUUUAAAUAAUAUUCUGGAAUUUCCUGAUUUAAUUUAAAUCCAGAAAUUCAAUUACUGCGUCAGCAUGACAUCAGCAUGACGUCAGUGGUCAACUGUGGCUGGCUGAGGUCAAACCUGACGUGUGGGGGCCACACGUCAGUGACAGGGGGGGUUAAACAGGAUUAAAUUAAUCCUAAUUAGGGGUUAGUGGCGCUGGGACCCACUGUCAGUGUCAGGGGGGGUUAACUAACAGUAGUUAGCGCUAACCUAACCACCUGGCCGACAGGGCCCACGCGUCAGUGACCCUGGGGGGUCAAACCCCAGGUCGGGCAAGUCAAACCCCACCGGCGACAUGACGCCGGCGAGGUCCGAGACGGCAGCGAUAGUGCUUUUUGCCAUUCCGGCAACCAAAUGGACGGCGGAAGGCACCUACGUGUUGCUGAGGUUGAGCCGCGUCUAUUGGUGGUGGUGGUUGGGCUCGGGGUGGCCGGAGUUGACGGCGGCGAGCUCGGCUGUGGCGGCCGGAGUUCGGGUGCGGUCGGGAUCAGCGUUGCAGGGGGUUUGGGGAAGCGUUGGUGCGUGCUGCGUGCUCCUAGUGAGGUGGGGAGCACGAUGGUGUGCUCGGUUGGGUGCUACGGCGACCGUGGCCACGACGGCGACAUCGCCGGCGGCGUGGAGGUCUCGGCCAAGGUGGGGCUAGGGCCUAGAGGUCGAAAGAGACCAGGGGAGAAGGGGGAAAUGAUCCGGGGGCUCACCGCGGAGCUGCAGGGAUGGUUAGCGGGCUCGGGGACGCGCUGGUGACGGUGAAUUCGACGGCGACGACGGUCGGAGCCCGAAGAGGGGAACGGCGACGUGGCGGCGAUGCAGGGCUUCCGGGGAGCUGUGGAGCGGUGGGGAGGAAGAGGGAGUCGAGGCGGAGCUCCUGAGCUAGUCGGGGGAGCGAGGGGUGGUCGGAGACGGUGGCUAAGGCGAACGGCGGCGACGGUGGUGUUCGGCCGGGCGAGAGAGAGAGCGAGGGAGAGCCGGGGGNNNNNNNNNNGGCAGGCAGGGAGAGAGGUGGCGUGGCGCGGUGGCCGUGCGCGCGCGCCGGCCACACGCCUGGCCGACUGGCGCCAGGAGGACGACGGCGGUGGUGGGCUGGGCUGGCUAGCUGGGCCGGCCAGCUGGUUGGGCCGCACAGGUAAGUUUUUCCCUUUUAGUUUUCUGUUUCUGUUUUUAUUUAAUAUAUCUGCAACUUUGUUGAAUGAAAUAAAAUACCUAGGCAACUCCAAAAAUCACCAAACUAUUUCUGGCCCAUAGUUGGAUUAUUUCCAACAUGAAACAUUUUAGUUUGGAGAUAUUUGAGCAUUUAAAUAUUUUAUAUUAUUUUAAAUGCCCAAAUUCAAAUAUUUAUGAUUUAAUUCAAAAACCUUAGGAUGGCCUAGGAAAAUGUGCACCACUUUUGGCAGAGGUUCUGAACCAAGGCAAAAAUGAUGGGCAUUUUAGAAGGGCAUUUCAGGUUCAUUGAAAAAUUAUUUUAGUAACCCUAGUUGGUUUCAGAGGGGACUGGGGGUUCUGUCAUCCCCAUUUCAAGUUUCUGAUGAAAGAGUAAACAUGAUGCAACACUCUAAUGCAUGACUAGCUAGGGUGUGACAUCGGGAAUGCACCAAAAAAGCUUCUCGACAGCUCUCUCCUCGGUGUAGGUGGCAUCGCCAAACUUCAUCAUCUUCUGCAGCAGAGUGUUGAGACGGAGAGCAAAGUCAUCAACGUCCUCACCUGGCUUGAAGCCCAGGUUCUCCCACUCCUUACGAAGUGCCUGUAGUGUGGACUUGCGAGCACGGUCGCUGCCGAUGCGUGCUGCGGCGAUGGCGUCCCAAGCCUCAUUGACAGUCCGCUUGUUGGAAAGCGAGAACUGCAUCUCGGGCGGGACUGCGGCGAUGAGGGCGUCCAGCGCCCGUCGAUCCUCUAGGUGGUCGACGUUGCUGUCCUGGACUGCCUCCCACAUGCGCCGCACCUGGGGCCUGACCUUCAUGAUCCCGGCCCACUCGAUGUAGUUGGUUUUAGUGAGGGUAGGCCACCCAACACUGGAACCAACAUCCCUGACCACAGUCGGGACCUCGUAGAGGCCGCGGUCCUGGUCGUUGCAGCCGCCGUCGCGGUGCGCGCCUCCACCUUGAGCGCGGGCGUGCUCGGCUGCCCACUGCGCCGUCCUCUCCUGCGCCACUUUGGCGCGAUCUGCGUCGGCGCCGUCGUCCGCAGGCGCGGAGCUGCUGGAGCUGCCGGGGCUGCCGCGGAGUGCCUUGGCAUCCGCCGUAGCCUCACGGGCUGCUUCUGCUGCUACUGCUGCUCCUACCUCCGCCCUGGCUGCUUCUACCUCCGCUCUGGCUGCUGCCAGCUCCGCUGCAGCCAGCCUCGACACCCUUGCCGCCGCAGCAGCUGCUGCUACAGCCGCUCGCUCACGCUCCUCUGCCACGGCGCGCUCGGCCUCCUGCCGGCGCCGCAUGCUCGAGGUAGCCGUGUGCUGAGAGCGACCUGCAGACAUGGCUCGCUGCAGGGGGGCUGUUGCGUGAAGAGGAGGCCGAUGAAGACGAGCUGCUGCUCGACAGUCCGGAGGGAGGAAGGUAACCAGAGGCAGACGGAGCAGCUGCUGCUACCGACUUGGGCUGCUCACAGGAAAUGCUCAGGGUACAGGUUAACGAGGCUCUGAUACCACUUGUUAGACCUUUCAGUCUGAGCAUUGAUAGUUGUGGAUGACACUAGAAGAGUUGGGACAAUUUUCGUUGGUUUAUUUCUCACACAAUGCCAUGCCAACCUGAGGGGUUGGGGAUACAUAUUUAUAGGCUGCUAGCCAGCCAAGGCAUAUGCUAAGAUGCUGCUAAGAUGCCAGUCUAAGAUGCUAGUCUAAGAUGCUAACUGACAGUCCUUGAUGGUCAAGAACAGAACUCUAUCCUAACAGCCAGUCCUUGAUGGUUCAGGACUUUAUCCUCCUAACUGCCACAAGGACCAUGUGCUGCAGCCCCACAAAGACCCUAGUACAUAAACUUAUCCAUCAACCUCCACCACCGCCCCGCUGGCCGCCACGAACAGCGUCCCUCCACCGCCGGUGCCGAUUACCUCCGCCGCCCCGGUUGCCACCAUCUUCACCCUCGAGGAAGUCACCGGCGCGCUCCGCGAUCUCGCCACCGCGGUCCAGGAGAUCCGCCUCUACCUGGCCGGCCCCCACGAGCCGCCGCCGGCCGCGCCACCCGCCGCCGCCACCGGGCCGCUGCUCCUACCGUGGCAGCUGCCCCUCCCGGCGGCCUCCGCCGCCCUCGCCAGCCCGUUGCAGCCCCAGCUNNNNNNNNNNNNNNNNNNNNNNNNNNNNNNNNNNNNNNNNNNNNNNNNNNNNNNNNNNNNNNNNNNNNNNNNNNNNNNNNNNNNNNNNNNNNNNNNNNNNGGUGAUAGAACAAUCUCAUAUCAUAAUCCUUAAUGAGCUCCAACCAUCUCCUUUGCCUGAGAUUUAACUCCUUCUGUGGGAAGUUGUACUUCAAGCUCUUGUGAUCAGUGUACACCUCACAAUGGUUUCCGAUGAGAAAAUGUCUCCAUGUCUUUAAUGCAUGCACUAUGGCUGCUAACUCCAAAUCAUGUGUAGCAUAGUUCAACUCAUGGGGUUUAAGCUGUCGUGAGGCAUAAGAAACAACUCUUCCCUCCUGCAUAAGCACCGCUCCAAGUCCUCGACGAGAAGCAUCGCAAUAUACUUCAUAAUCCUUGCGCUCAUCUGGCAGAAUCAACACCGGUGAUGUAACCAAACAUUUCUUCAACUCCUGGAAACUGGCCUUACAUUCCUCAGUCCAUUUGAAUUUGAUGUCCUUUUUCAACAACUCUGUCAUGGGUUUUGCGAUCUUCGAGAAAUUCUCAAUGAACCUCCGGUAGUAUCCUGCGAGUCCAAGAAAACUCCGGAUAUCUCCAACUGAUGUGGGUGCUUCCCAAUUUGUCACAGUGACAACUUUGGUGGGGUCUACUGCUAUUCCUUCUCCGGAUAUAACAUGUCCAAGGAAUCCAACUUCCUUCAACCAAAACUCGCACUUGCUGAACUUGGCAUAUAAUUGAUGCUCUCUGAGCUUCCCAAGUACCAAACGCAAAUGUUCCUUAUGCUCUUCUUCAUUCUACGAGUAGACCAAAAUAUCAUCAAUGAACACCACAAUGAACUUAUCCAGAAACUCCAUGAACACCUUGUUCAUCAUGUUCAUAAAAUAGGCAGGUGCGUUAGUCAGACCAAAUGACAUAACGGUAUACUCAUAUAGCCCGUACCUUGUGGUAAAAGCUGUCUUAGGUAUAUCCUGCUCUCGAAUCUUCAGCUGGUGGUAUCCUGAUCGCAGAUCGAUCUUGGAAAAUACUUUAGCUCCUUGCAACUGGUAAAACAAAUCAUUGAUCAUCGGCAGUGGGUACUUGUUCUUGAUUGUCACUUCAUUCAAUCCUCGAUAAUCAAUAGCCAUCCUUAAUGAUCCAUCCUUCUUCUCCACUAGAAGCACUGGUGACCCCCAAGAUGUUCUAUCACUUUUAGCUAGCACAGAGGCUAGAGAUGAGAUUAGUGCACUUGUUGAUACUCCUACUAGAAUAGAGGCUAGACAUGAGACUAGAUGUGAGGAAGCAACGUCUACUUCUUUACACUCGAAGAAGAAAGAAGCACGCAAGAUCGAGCCUCCGCAGAUCAACAAUGAAUGCAUCGAGAAGGCACUAAUCCAACUUAUAGGAGUAGUAAAAUUUAUUCUUGUGGUUCUUGUUUUCUUUGGUCUUGCUUUUCUAGUCAAAAUUAUCGUUGGAGUUCGUGCAAAACGAAGGUCCGUUUGGGGUCGUGCGUUGGAGUUUGCCUUACAAGUGGGACCGCAGUUAAGGAAACCGACUAUCGGCAAACCCCCACCUCGCCCGCCGCGCGAUGGCUGAAGUUAGAGAAAUGACGAGGUUGAAGAGAUUGCUCUAGCAUGGACUCCAAGAAAUAAUAUGGUGUCAGAUGGAUGUCGUGGUGGUGGCGUGUGUCGUACUCCUGGACGUGAAUGCUUGUUCUGGCCCAUGCCACCCUACUACUCCUACUACUUACUCCUACUAUAUAGUACUAGUAUCGAGGAUUCGAGGUGCUGGUUACGUACAGCAAACACAUUAACAUAUGGCUACAGUAAAAACACCUGCCCGACGCGUGAAGCAUGUGAAGCUAGUACAAAUAGUGUACAACUAUUGUUGAUUGGCCUCAUCCGAUAACCUGUUGCAAUGCACGUACAAUUAUGUAUUCAGAAAAAUUUUUUCCUCGUCGCACCACUCACUCAGAGAAGUGACUCGAAAGCCAUUCCUAAAUUUAGUAAGUUUAUCACAGGCAUAUCAUUUUAUUACAUACAAUAGGUCAUCAACCCACAUCGACAACGAGGAUACAUUAUAAAUACUAAAGUUUUCACCAUACAAAAAAUAACAAGCAAUAAAAUGAACUUCAACUCAACCAUUCCUCGGUGUUGGAAAUGCUUGCUUUGAACCACAAGUGAUUCUCUGGGACGGGCCAUCCAUUAUCGAUCUGGAGACCAACGCAGGACUGAUCAUCCAGGCUGAAGCGGCCUACUAUAUCAGUACCAGGGUAGGGAACCACCCAAUUGUCCGAGGUAUAGACACAGCUGCUUCUCAUAAAUGGUACUAGUAACAUUGUGUCAACAGCAGUUGGGUCACCUUUCACCAUCAUCGGAUAGUUUUGUCCAAGGAAGAGCGAGUUUUCUCCAAGACUAUCAAUUCUGUACCAGGGAGAAGGAGUUGGCGCUAGCACACUAGUAUCCAUCCCGAAUACCAUGCAAUGGGUGUUGGAAUAGGUCCGGAGAGUGCGACCAUGGGAGACUACACCUGCUUCCUUAGCAGUAACAUCAUCAGUGGGCUGUAUACACACAAGAAGAGGUGAUCCAUCGGAAUUAGUUGCCAGGCGCCACAGAGUAUAUGGGCGCUACUCGUCCUCAUGCUUGUGAUCAUCACCAUCGUCAUCUCCCCCUUGGUUAUAAAAUUUUUCAAGUAUAGGUGGUGGGAUGUUCACAAGACCUUGGAAACACAAGAAGAAGCUUAAUUAGUAAAGGGAAACUUGCUAACCCGCAUGCAUGUGGAUGAAACAAUUAUAAUUACGCUGGAAGACAAACGUACCGAAACUACGAGGAUCCCAUGCAAAACAGUGCCACGAGUGGUGGCAGCAAACACAAGGCCCUCGUAUUGAAUUGCAUCACAGUACUCAUCCAUGUACAGAAACUGAUUUUUGAGCAAUAUCCAUCGAGUCAAACCACCAAGGACGGCAACAAGCUUGUUGAAGAUAGAAUUCCAAGAGCGGUUGGGAACUUGACAAAUUGCUAUCUUCCGUAGAAGAUAAUCACCAUGAUCGUAUUUGAACGUGCGUACAAUACCGGUGUGCUCAACCUCUGGGCAGUCUGCUGAGAUUUUUGGAAGUGGAACCCGGUCACGAGUGUACACAUUCACAAGUUCCCACUCGCAGUUGGACCCAAUGUAAACAACCCAAUCUCCAUUUGCGCCUGCCCAAGCCUUGCCCUCAAGCGAUGGCAUCUUAACAUCAUACGUAUCAUUAUCAAGCGGCAUCAACUUGCACAGGCUGAGGCCUCCGUCGUGCCGGCGCCAGUCAUCAGGGUCACGGCGAAGAAGAUAGGGGAGAUCAAACCGCUCCUUGACUCUUGGGUUCCUUGUAAUGAUGUUAUUAGUGGUCUUCACUGGGAUGAAAUGAGCUACCUUGGUCAAACGAUCGACUACAACCCAUAUCGAGUCAUAGCCUGAACGAGUCCUGGGCAAUCCUGUGAUAAAAUCCAUGCCUAUCUUAUCCCACUUCAAUUCGGGUAUCGACAAUGGUUGUAGCAAUCCUGCUGGCUUCUGAUGCUCUGCCUUCACUCUUUGACAUACAUCACAAACUGCUACAAACUCCGCAAUAUCCUUCUUCAUUCCGGUCCACCAAAAACUAUCCUUCAAAUCCAGAUACAUUUUGGUAUAUCCUGGGUGAAUCAAAUACGGCGAAUCAUGGGCCUCCUGCAGAAUCAACUUCCUGAUCUCUGGGUCAUUAGGCACAUAUACGCGGACCUCAAACCAUAAGGUAUCAUGCUCAUCCUCACGAGAUCCCUUAGCUUUUCCUUUGCUCAUCUUCUCCUUUAUCUCGGCAAUCUCCUUGUCGGUCUUCUGANNNNNNNNNNNNNNNNNNNNNNNNNNNNNNNNNNNNNNNNNNNNNNNNNNNNNNNNNNNNNNNNNNNNNNNNNNNNNNNNNNNNNNNNNNNNNNNNNNNNUUUUUCUUUUAAAAUUUCACUUGUUUAAUUAACUACAUUCAAAGAACUUUCUACAGUUUUUUUAGAGAAGGACAACCUAUGAUUUGCUAGCUAGCUAGUUAGGUAUUUUAACACAACAUUAAUAGCAAGGAGAAGGAGAUGAACUGUUCACAGCCAGGCAGGCAGGUCUCGCUGGCUUUUUCCUGUAUCAUUGGCUACUCCUACUUCCUUCUCUGACAAAGACCUGUUCUGAAUCUGUAAUACUGAUUCAUAGUGAUGAUGGUGGAUCGACUAUAGACCUUUACUAAUCCAUGUACAACAAAAAUUACGACGUACAAGGUUAAAAAUCCAAGGGUCAAACCCUAGUCAAUCGAUCCGGCAAAUUCUACACGAAUCUGGCAUGACAUCCAGUGCGAUUAACAGGAGUUUCAAUUAUAAUUAGCCUCCACGAAGCUGCAUGGAGGAGGAUGUAAUCGUGUUUUGUUUCCUUGUCUGAAACUUCACUUUCCAUCAAUCUGAAAAUAAGUGGUAGAGGGUAAAGGAAUGAAAAAAAACAUAUGUAGAGGUUUUGCAACAGCUAAAGCCACACACACAAAAACAUUAGUAUGCUAGCUGGUCCAUGGCAUUGACAAGUCAAUUGAUUCGAUGCAACCAUAUGUAUGAAUAAUAUGGCCAAGGAUAAGAGAAGUAAAAAAUAUAAAUAUACUGAUAGGCUCUUCUUUUGUUCACGUGUGCAUGUUGCAUGAGCCAAGUGUAUCGGCAUUAUGGCUUGUGUUUGCUACAUGACGGCGAUAGGCCAGUUCCCAUUCAGUCAGGCAUGAUAUGUCCUAAAUUCAUUUAUUCACGUAUCGUGUAGAAGGAGAACUUAUUUCAUUUAUGUUUUGUAGGUUCCUUGCUUACAAGAAAAUAGAAAAAAAGACACUUAUAUAAUUACCAGACAAAAUCAACUGUAUAUUGCUCUAUCUUUCCUCUUUGUUCUGUAUCAGUAUCAACAAUCAUAGUACUAAUAGCUUCCUAUACUGGUGGUAAUAAAUUCAAUAAAAGAAACCUAGAAACUAUAUGAACAACUUGAAACAAUAUGUACAAACUUAGAUUAACCAACGAAUGAAAUACAAAAGAAGUGUUCAUGUCUACGUGGAGUGAAUCAAUCAAGCCACGCAAAGCCCUAAUACUUUGUUUUCUAUUAGUAACUCAUAUGACAAUACAACCGCUCCAUAUGAAAAGGUAAUACGAUGAGUCAUCUAUGCUUAUCCAUCUUACAUAUAUAUUGUACAAAAAAUAUAAAGUUAGUUCAGAAAAAAUUGUGUAUAGAACAAUCUUCGCAUUAAUAGUGUGAUCUAUCUCAAUGACACACACAAAAUUACAAACUUUGUUCCCUUAAGUAUGCCAAUCUGGAUACGCCUAACAACAUAUAGAACAUGACAAACUAACUCGGAGCAAGGGACAAAAUCUAGAUCAAUGUUUGAAGUGUAAAGUGAAUACGAUGAGUCAUUUGUCGUUAUCAAGCAUUCCAUACACCUAGAUGAUAUGUGCAAGAACAAUCAACUAUGAAGAACAAUCCAAAAUCACACUAGUAAGUAGUGCAAUGAAACACAACAUACCAAAUUAUUAGGUAAUCGAUAAGCUUAAGAGCAGUUUUUCAAGAAGCGAGUGUAAAGAUUACAAACUUAGUUCCCUUAAGUUAUGCCAAUCUGGAUAUACCUAACAACAUGCAGAACAGCACAAGCUAAAUCAGAAAGACGGACAAAAUCUAGAUCAAUAUUUGAAGUGUAAAGUGAAUACGAUGAGUCAUUAUGCGUUAUCAAGCAUUUGAUACACCCAGAUGAUAUGAGAAAGAACAAUCAACUAUGAUGAACAAUCCAAAGUCACGCUAGUAAGUAGUGCCAUCAAACACAACAUACAAAAUUAUUAGGUCGAUAAGCUUAAGAGCACUUUUUCAAGAAACGAGUGUGAAGAUCAAAAACAAAUGUGCGAUGCCAGCUAUAAAUACGACUACACCAUGAGGGUCUCUUCCAUCAUCUAACCUUCAAGGACCUAGAGUUGAAACACCAAAGCCAAGUGAGCAAUAGUAAACACAAAUCAAACAUGAAGACCUUCAUCAUAUUUGUCCUCCUUGCCAUGGCGAUGAACAUCGCCAGUGCCAGUAGGCUGCUAAGCCCUAGAGGCAAGGAAUUGCAUACUCCACAAGAACAAUUCCCCCAACAACAACAAUUCCCCCAACCACAACAAUUCCCCCAACAACAACAAUUAACGCAACAACAAUUCCCCCGGCCACAACAAUCCCCUGAACAACAAUAAUUCCCCCAACAACAAUUCCCCCAGCAACCACCACAACAAUUCCCCCAACAACAAUUUCCAAUACCAUACCCACCCCAGCAAUCACAAGAACCUUCCCCAUACCAACAAUAUCCACAACAAGAACCAUCUGGGAGCGACGUUAUAAGUAUCAGUGGCCUAUGAAAUGAAGAGAUGUAAUACUAGACGGGUGAAUCAUCGUUGUUAGUCAAUGGAGCAUAAUGUAACGAUGAUAAAUAAAGUGAUGUGCACCAUCAUGUGUAACCCCGACCUGUACUAGUCCAAACAUGGGAAUAAAAGACAAAUAAGUUCUUUUCUGAAGCACAUUGCUCGCAAUUGUUACAUUCAUGCCCUAUUUUGAUUUCCAUCCCUAACUACAAUCUCAAUGUUAUGUGACGUCUACUUAUUUAGGAAGUGUAGUAUUAUAUGAACAUAACAUAAUUAACAUGUACGAAACUUGUUUCAAAUUGAAGUACUAUUA